AUGACGCAAUUUGAAGAUUUUUUUUUUCUUCUAAAACAAAUUUCCCAACAUUCAUUUUUAUGACAUAUCUCAAAUGUCAAUUAGCCUAUUGUACAAUAGAAAAGACCAAAUAUUUGCCAAAUGAUCAACUUUGUACCAAAGAAGCAUAAGUUAUGUCAUGAUUGUUGUCUAGAGAAUCAUAGAAAGGAUUAAGAAAUAAAAGAAACAAAAACAUUAACCGUCCAGUAUUUGAAGAACAAAAAAGAUAAAAAUAAAACAAGAGAGAAUUUGAAAAUGAAAAUAAAACAUCUUUGAAGAGACAAAAGGAACAAAAGGGCUCAAAUGGAAAACAAAUACAUUUGUCCCCAUAAAUAAGUAGAGAGAUCAAAAUCAAGCAUGAGCUUGAGAGUUUUAGUGACAUGCCCAAGCUUUUCACAAAGACGACUGUGCCUCUUCUCCGUAGCUGUUUUGAAUUGCUCGGUAUCAGUCCGAUAUAUAUCCAACAUCACACGUAGAUUUUGGGAAUAAGGAUCGACUGGAUGAAACUUUGCUUGCACAAUAGCCAUAUCGAAAACACCAUCUUCACUAUGACCUAAGAGUGUGGUGUGUGGAAUCAGUACAUCACAAUGUCUUACAUAUGAUGGAACAUAAUCAUAAUCAUUAGGAAACUUUGAUACCGGAAUUUCGAAUUCACUGAUAUCUCCAUAGUUAAAAUUAGCAUAAGCCCAGUGAGGAGUGAAAUAAAACUCAUAAUCAUGAAUCCCUAUAAAAUAGCCAUCAAGUGAAUCAGGAAUACCACCAAAUUCUUCCCAGACCUUAGAUUGAGAUUGAGCGUUAAGAUCGAGAGCAUAGAUACCAAACUCGAGACCAUAGAUACCAGACUCGAUCAGAAUCACAAAACGGGAAUCAGUCAGAAAUCCAUACGAUUGAAUUAGAAAAGAAGAUAAAGAAGACCCACCACAGCUAGGUACCAGUGGAGGGAGAUCUUCCCACGUGUCAUUAGAAACGUUAUAUAACUCGAAAAUAUCACCAUAAAACAGACCACCAUCACCCAUGAUGAUUUCUGAUGAAAAAACUAAAAUACGAUUACCACCGUCUGGUGUGGGAAGAGCUAUAGGAGAAAUUUUCCCGUGACGCAUAGCCUUGAUCUUAACUAGGUUUUCUUUCUUCAGAUUAUAAUCGAUGAUUUCUUCUUCGCUUAUCUCAAACUUACCUGCAAAAGUUCUUCCGCCCAUUCGGCCACCCAGAAACAUGUCUCCCUCAAACAUAUAAAGUGUGGAAUUUAGAGCACAAAAGGCCACCCCAGGAACACUCCCUUUGAAUCGAAUAAUGGGUUCCUUAUGAAUGAAUUCAUCGCCGCCGCCGCCCGAGGAUGAAUCCAAAUCCACAAUGUAAAAUUUAUAUUCGUCGCCAUCGGGAUGCAUACAUCGCAAAACGACACAGACUUUUUGAGAAACAGAUGACAAUCGCAGCCUUUUAGAAGCACGAACUGAUGUUGCUGAACAAGAUUCAACUUCCAUUUUUUUUUAAUUGAAUUGUGAAAUGAAUCGACAAGGAGAGAGAAGAUAAACAAACCCCUUCUUCUUCUUUUUUUUUUUUAUGAUGAAUUGUGGGCCUUCUCUUUUGCGUUGGGCUUCAUUUGCACAAAUAAUUCUAUUUCAAAAAACCUAUCAAACCCACCUCUUGCUUAAUUGACAAGGAGAUAACCAACCUUUGUUAGGAAAGUUGUUAUUACUCGUCUUUGCAUUUACGUCAUAUCGUCUUUGCAUUUACGUCAUAGCUUUAGGUCCUGUUUGGUUGGCAAGAUUAGCCAAAAUUAAUUAAAUAGUAAGAUUUAGUUUGAUAUUUGGUUAGCCCUACUAUUUUCCGCCAAAAUAAUUUUUAUCUUGACUAAUUGCGAGAUAAUUCAUUGUUAUCGAUCAAAUCAAACAUCUUAUAAAAUAAUAUGCCUAUUAUUUUAUACAUAAAAGUAUCUUAUCUUGGCUAAUUUUAUCUUGUCAACUAAACGGGACCUUAGUGUAAUUAUUAUCCAAACAUUUCUUUUGACUGUGAAUUAAUCUCAAGCAUUAACUUGUCAUUUUCUCCUUGUAGUAGAGCAAGAAAAUGCUUCAUGGAAUUUUGUAUAAAUAGCAACAUUCUGUAAUGAGAAAUAUUGACACAAGCUUUAAUAGCAAUACGAUUAAAUAUAUUAGUAAAGUUCCUAUAGUUAUAUUUUCUACUAUAUUCUAUAACAUAUUAUCGCUCGUACAAAAUUAUAGGUUUGUAAAUAAGUUUAUUUUUUUAUUGUACUAUUUUCUACUUAUUUUACUUUACGAUGGCCGGAAUCGAAAAACAGAAAUUUCAAAUUCUUUAUGAUUUUUAUCGCCAUCAUGUUUCCUAGGAUUUGAAAGACGAGUAUGUACAAUUAAAAAGACCAUCAGAAAUAUGUGGCAAAAAACUCAAGGAGAGUUUGAUCACGCAAAGACUGUGAUCCUCUUACAGGCCCAAUAUAAUUGGCAGCACCUAAGGCUGCAGGACUUUAAAUAUGUCGCCGACUAUAAUUCGGUACUGUUUAAGAUUGACACCAUAAGAGUGGUUGUAAGUAUCCACAAAGGAGGAGUUUUUUCGUAAUUUGACCUUACCUCAGGGGUUGGCCGUAAUUUACCCAAAAUAAAAUUGAUAUUGCUUGAAUAGAAUUUGAACUGCAUGCAAUUGCUAUACUAAUAACAAACUUUGAAGGUUAAUUGAAACUAUAUGUUGGCAAAUUAUCUCUAUCAAGACUUAAUGUUCAUUUUUGCAGUUGUCGCAGUCGGUCUUUUUCUCCGCUUUUAUAACAGAUUAUGUAAAGUACCAUAUGCAAAACUAAAUAAAAUAUGAGCAUGUAAUUGAUGUGAUCAAGCAAUACAAAUGAGAAGAUAAUAGUGAAGUCUGACUACGAGUAAAAAAAAAAUCCGGGACUAGUGCAAGUGUAUGAAAUUACCUGUCUUAUUACAUCAUUGAGGCCGGGACAAAGGCCUCCACAUGUAACAGUUGCUGCUUUUACCUCUUCUGGUUUGAAGUAUAUCUUUUCUCGAGGCCCAGCACGAUGCACCCUGAAAUUAAGUUGACAGCAGCACGAUGAAUUAAGUUUUUUUUUUUUUCAAAAAACAACAACAGCUUAUAAGCUCCCCAACUACUUUUUUUUUUUUUUUAAGAUCUCCUUGAGAAAAAAAAAAAUAUCAAACAAGCUUUAGUAGCUAGUAUGAGAUGAAAAGCAUAUUAAAUUAUCAUAAAGUUACUGCACCGUGACUAACGGUGACCGAAAAGCUUAAGCUGUUAGUGAUGUGAAUUAUUUAACUAUUAGUUAUUCAUAGUCUCUCCAUAUAAGCUCGUGAAUAAUAUUACGUAAAAGAUUUUUACCAUUGCUCUACCCAUGUACAGCCUGGAUCAAUACACUCGGCACCGGCAGAUGCAGGAGAGGAUUAACGUAUCACCUGAAAUGAGGAAAAUCAUCGCAUAAACAACCCUUUUCAGACGCAAUCAACAUAAAUAAAUUUUAUCCGCCAUCAUCUUUCCGAGGAUUUGAAAGAUGAAUAUAUACAACUUGAAAGGCCAUCAGAGAUAUGGCAAAAACUCAAAGAAAGGUUUGAUCACACAAAAACUGUCAUUCUCCCACAAGCCCAAUACAAUUGGCAGCACCUAAGGCUGCAGGACUUCAAAUCUGUUGCCGACUAUAAUUCGGCACUGUUUAAACUUGAGUCCCGAUUAGCCUUGUCUGGAGUUAAAAUAUCCGAAUAUGAUAAAUUGGAAAAAACUUUUUGAACUAUGCAUGCCUCGAACUUGGUGCUCCAACAGCAAUAUAGGCAGCGCCAGUUUAAAACAUAUUCGGAGUUGAUCUCUGUACUCCUCACGGCAGAAAAACAAAUGAAUUGCUGUUGAAAAAUCAUGAUUUGCGACCAUGUGGGUCCCAAGCUGUGCCUGAAGCACAUGCUAAUCAAAAUAGAAAUAUGGGCCGAUUUAGAGGCCGUGGGCGUAGAUUCUGGCGUGGUGCACGCAGAGGUGGUGGACGUGGUCCCCCUCAAGAUGCCCGAAAUAAUGACCGUGGUGGAUAUGAAUAUCCCCGUCGAAAUAAUAAUAAUAAUACGGUCUGGCAGAGACAACCAUUUCAGGCAAAACGCGAUAAAGGCAAAAUGCCCGCGGAAAGAAUUCCAGAAAAUAUGUGUAUUAGAUGUGGAAUGACUGGACACUGGGCCAAAGUUUGUAGAACCGCCCAACAUCUGGUAAAUCUGUACUAGGAUUCAAAAAGAGACAAAGGAAAAAAUGUCCAGGCAAAUGUCACUGAGGCAGAAAUGCCACUUGCUGUUCUUGAAGCCAGCACAUCUGGAAGCAUGCUUGAUCAAGAUCCUGCUCAAGAUGGAGCCUCUCUUGAGUUAUCAGAUUUCUUUACAGAUCUUGAUCCUCUUGUGUAAAUUGCCAAAUGAGCAUCUCUUUUGGUUAUUUUGUACUCAAUAUGUAUAUUUUGUAUAUAUCUCUCUCGGAUGAUGUAGUACCCGAGAUUGAACUAGUUUGUCUUUUGAUGUAUCCAUGUACAUAUCUCCCUUGGAAGUUAUGUUCCCAAGGUGGAGCUGAUAUUUUGACUAUGUAUAGAAUUAUGAGUUUGUUAUUAUAUGAUUUACAAACUAUACUACGAUUCAAUAUUAAUUUUAUGUUAUUUAAUUCAGGCAAACAUGGAGAACAUCGACAAAAGAGAAAAUUGCCUACUCGAUAGUGCAACUACACACUCAAUAUUCAAUAAUAAAAUAUAUUUCUCGAGUGUGACAUUGUGCAAGGCACAAGUUAAAACCAUAGCAGGUUCCGCGGAAAUAAUAGAUGGCUCCGGGAACGCAACAAUUGUGUUGCCUAAUGGUACCACUUUGCAUAUUGAAAAUGCAUUGAUAUCAGGUAGAUCAAAUAAGAAUCUACUGAGUUUUAAAGAUGUGAGACGUAAUGGAUAUCAUUUAGAGACACUGGUUGAAAAUACCGUGGAGUGUCUCUGCAUCACAUCAUAUGUUAUGGACAAAAGAAUUGUUCAUGAAAAACUCGAAGCGACAGCUUCUGGAGUGUAUUGUUUCCAAAUUAGAGCUUUCGAAUCCUAUGCCACUAUGCCAUGGAAACUCGUUAAUCCCAAUAUUCAUGGAUUAUGGCAUGAUCGACUGGGUCACCCAGGAACGACUAUGAUGCGUAGGAUUGUACAACAUACUAAGGGACAUCCAUUAAAAGAUACAAAGAUCUUAAUGUCCAAUGAAUAUUUCUGCGAAUCAUGUUCACAGGGAAAGCUCAUUAUAAAACCUUCCAUUGAAAAGGUCAGUUAUGAAUCACCGUCGUUUUUACAACGUAUUCAUGGUGAUAUUUGUGGACCAAUACACCCUGCAAGUGGGCCAUUUAGAUAUUUUAUGGUUUUGGUGGACGCAUCUUGUAAAUGGUCCCACGUAUGCUUAUUAUCUACGCGAAAUGUUGCAUUUGCGCGUUUGCUAGCACAAAUUAUUAAACUCCGAGCACAUUUCCCUGAUUAUCCCAUAAAAAUAUAAGGAUGGAUAAUGCCGGAGAAUUUACAUCAAAAGCUUUUGAUGAGUAUUGUGCAGCACUGGGAAUAAAUGUCGAGCACCCAAUAGCAUACGUUCACACUCAAAAUGGACUGGCGGAAUCUCUGAUUAAACGCGUCCAAAUAAUUGCUCGUACUUUGCUGAUGAGAUCGAAACUCACUAGUGCAGCAUGGGGCCAUGCAGUACUGCAUGCAUCAGCACUGAUUAAAUUGCGCCCCACUGCUUAUCAUAUGCAUUCCCCAAUGCAAUUGGCAUUAGGCUUUGAGCCCGAUAUUUCGCACCUACGCACAUUUGGUUGCGCUGUGCAAGUGCUAAUUCCUCCUCCUCAGAGGACUAAAAUGGGUCCCCAACGUCGACUUGGCAUAUAUGUUGGGUUUGAUUCACCGUCGAUUAUUAGGUUUUUUUAACCAAUGACGGGUGAUUUAUUUACCGCUAGAUUUGCGGAUUGUCAUUUUGAUGAGACAUUAUUUAUACCGAUUGGUAAGGAUAUUCAGAAUAUCCGUGAUAAUGAUAAACAAAAACCAAUCGAGAAUCUCACAUGGUGUGAGCAACGCUUAUAUCAUCUCGACCCACGUACCUCUGAAUGUGAAAAUGAGAUCCAUAGAAUCAUUCAUUUACAAAAUAUUGCCAAUACACUUCCUGAUGCAUUUAAUGAUGCCAGUAAAGUCACGAAAUCUUAUAUCCCAGCUGUGAAUGUGCCAGCUAGGAUCGCUGUUCCUGAAGAACAUGCGAAAAUGAAUGAUGAUCCCCCACGACAAAAACGGGGUAGACCUAUUGGAUCAAAGGACGUUAUUCCUAGAAAAAGAAAGGGGAAAAUCGAUGAACCCUCGAACCAAGUGGUUCCUAGUGAGAAUGCUCCAGAUGAAUCUGUUGAGCCUGAUAUCGAAAAAACGAUAUCAAAUACCGGGAAUACCGAGAAUCCCAUAAGUUAUUGCAAUGAAAUAGAAAUGAGAUAAUCAUCGAUAAUAUUUUUGCAUUCUCGGUUGCACAAGAAAUAAUGUACGAUGAUUAUGAUAGUGAACCGCGUUCCAUAAUAGAAUGCCGCCAAAGAAAUGAUUUGCCUAAGUGGGAAGAAGCAAUAAAAUCUGAAUUGGCUUCCUUAGAAAAACGGAAAGUAUUUGGGCAAAUUGUUCAAACUCCGGAUAAUGUAAAGCCCGUUGGAUAUAAAUGGGUAUUUGUCCGUAAGAAAAAUGAGAGCAACGAAAUUGUACGAUAUAAAGCCCGCCUUGUUGCUCAAGGCUUUUCCCAGCGGCCUGGAAUUGAUUAUGAUGAGACGUAUUCACCAGUGUUGGAUACGAUCACUUUCCGUUUUCUUAUAAAUAUGGUCGUCCAAGAGGGACUGGACUUACGUCUAACGGACGUUGUAACGGCCUAUUUAUACGCUUCACUAGAUUCUGAUAUCUAUAUGAAAAUUCCCGAUGGAUUUAAAAUGCCAAAAUCUGGCGCUGCUCGUGGGCUGCACUCAAUCAAAUUACAGAGAUCAUUGUAUGGUCUAAAGCAAUCCGGUCGCAUGUGGUAUCAUAGAUUGAGUGAAUACCUUAUCAGGGAAUGUUAUAAAAAUGAUCCUAUUUGCCCAUGCGUUUUUAUUAAACGAUCAGAAACCGGAUUUGCUAUCAUUGCGGUUUAUGUAGAUGACAUGAACCUGAUUGGAACUCAUGAAGAGUUAGCCAAUGCAGCUGAAUAUUUAAAGAAAGAGUUUGAGGUCAAGGACCUUGGAAAAACAAAACUAUGUCUUGGUAUUGAGCUUGAGCAUAAAAAUAACGGCAUACUUAUACACCAAUCUGCAUAUACUAAACGAGUGCUCAAAAGGUUUAAUAUGGAAAAUUCUAAUCCAUUAAGUACCCCUAUGGUUGUACGCAAUUUAGAUCCUAAAAAGGAUCCGUUUCGACCUAAAGAAUUCAAUGAAGAGAUACUUGGCCCAGAAGUGCCAUAUCUCAAUGCGAUCGGAGCAUUAAUGUAUCUAGCACAAUGCACUCGACCUGAUAUAACUUUUGCUGUAAAUGUGCUUGCGAGAUACAGUUCUGAGCCAACCCGGAGACACUGGAAUGGUGUUAAACAUAUUUUUCGAUAUCUCCGUGGAACUGCAGAUUUGGGAUUAUUUUAUUCGAAAAAUUCAACUAACCAAUGGUUAGUUGGUUAUGCCGAUGCGGGAUAUAGAUCUGAUCCGCACAAAGCUCGCUCACAAACUAGAUAUUUGUUUUGUUAUAAUGGUGCAGGUAUAUCUUGGCGAUCUACCAAACAUACAUUAGUGGCCACCUCAUCAAAUCAUUCAGAAAUAAUAGCACUUUAUGAGGCAGGCAGAGAAUGUGUUUGGCUAAGAUCAGUUAUAUCUCAUAUACGAAAUUCCUGCCAAUUACAUCCAGUUACAGACACGCCCACAGUCAUUUACGAAGACAAUGCUGCUUGUAUAGCACAAACAAGGGGCGGAUACAUAAAAGGUGAUAGGACUAAACAUAUAUCACCAAAGUUCUUCCACACACAUGAACUUCGGAAGAAUGGAGAAAUUGAUGUCCAACAAAUUCGUUCAUGUAACAAUCUUGCUGAUUUGUUUACAAAAUCCUUACCGACUUCUACAUUUGAGAAACUGGUAUACGAAAUCGGAAUGAGAAGAUCCAAUGUGAAGCAAGAUUGAUGAGCCAUUUUUGAAGAUUUAUAUUGUUUAUUUCAUGAGGAGCAAUGAUGCGCUGCACUCUUUUUCCCUUAUGACUGGUUUUGUCCCAUUGGGUUUUCCAGCAAAGGUUUUUAACGAGGCAGCUUAUGCACAUAACUUUGUUUUGAGACAACACAAUAAUGUUUCGUCCAAGGAGGAGUGUUGUGACAUGUGGACUCAACCAAUAGAAUCAAUUCUAUACACAUGCUACUAAAGCACUUCACGUGAUCUUCAAGUGCAUGCAAUAUUAAUUUUGUAUUAAUAGGUGUAUUAAUUUGAAGUGAUGACUAACUAAGUCAUUUGCUUCGUGUCAUUUGUGAAAUGGGUAUUUACCUAUAUAAAUAAGUGUAAUAUUAUUUGAUGAAAUAAUAAUGCUUCCUCAGCAAAAACUUUCUUACACUUCUUCACAGUAGUUUCCUUUCGCAAAAUUCCUUUUCACAGUAAUUAUAUAUAUACUAUAUAAUUAUUAUUCUACAACAUAAAUUUAAUUAUUUAAACAUCCGGUUUUUUUCCCGCAAAUUAAAUCACCAAUCCUCAUCCUGAGGCAGAAAGUGGAAGGGUACGGAACGGCGUCGUGCAGCGCGUCGGUUAAAUGGGGAAUUCUGAAGCGCGCCUCGAAAUCCUUCUGGUAAUUUGACUUCCAAUCCGCUGCGGCGGCGGAGGCGCUCCUCUUCUCCGAUUUCGCUUUCACCUCAAUCUUCCUCCGGGUCGGAAUCUGAACGGAACCGAAGGAAACAAGCGCGUGGACGGAGAUACGCGCCCUAAUCGGAGGAAUCAGCGGCGGUCUGAAUCUGAUCGCCGCCGGCGUAAGAGCUUCCAUCAAUUCUGAUUAUAUUAAAAUUUCAGGGCAAGAGUUUUCAAAAUCGUAAGCAAUUGCAAUUUUUGGUUUUUUCACUUACAACUAAAAAAACUAUAGGUUUUAAGGGGACUGUUGUAGCAUUAAUAUAACAUUAUUUUUUUAUUAUAAUAUUAUUUUGUAAAUUAUUAUAUUGCAAUUCCAAUAUUAGUAAUUUAUUAUACAAAAAUAAAAUAAUUGAAAAGCUAGCUACUAGCCAGCUUUUGAGUCAUGAACAACUAAAAAUAGAUUUGAGCUCAAGCUCGUGAGAAAGCUAGAGCUCGAGCUUUUAUCGAGCCGGCUUAUCGAGCUCUCGACUUAUUUACACCCCAAAAUAAUGAUAAAGUUCAUCAGAUGUAGGAUAGAUAGAAUAAACAGUAGACAGACAGUAAACAAAUAUUUUCCAGUCCAAAAAACCUUCCAUUUCUAUGAGGUACAAAACGAGGACAAUCUUGCACUCAUGGAAAACUAAACACGGACACAAACCAUGUGCAAUUUCAAGAGAAGCCUCUUUGUUUUUAUAUACAUUCAUAGAACACAAAAAAAGCAAACAACGGUGAAAAAACGUAAAAACGAAAACUACGGUCUCAUUCUUCAUUAAAAUGUGAUAAAGCAGUAUCGCACUCUUCCGUUUCAUUGAACUCUAAAGGUGGUUUCCCGCUUAUUGUCUUCCUGCAAAAUCGAGACAUUUUUAUUUAGAAACAUGGCAAAUCAAUUUUCAGUUUUUUUCGUUAUGAAAUCAAACACCAAGUAUUUGAUACUUCAUUCGAGUUAGGACAAAAAAACAUAUUCUCUGGUUAUACUCAUGUAAAAUGUAUAAUAUAUUACUAUCAAAUGAUUUAUUCUGCAUAUUUUUUAAUAUAAAUCCAAAUUUAUUAAUUAAAAUACAAAAUUUCCGUAACAUCACCAAUCAUGCAACUAUAAUAAGGGUAGACUUUAAAUUUAAUUUAAAUAAAUUUAAAUUAAAUUAAUUACUGUUAAAAUUAAAUUAAAAAAAUAAAUAUAUUUAUAGUUUCCAAGAAAGUUGAUGUAUUUAGAGAUUUUAUAAAUGGUAGUAUAUAAAUAUACCAUAUUAAUAAAACUGAAAUGUUAAAUGUCGUUUCAAUUUUACUAAUACCGUUUAAACUUCGAAUCUGAUUUUGACAUAUUUCUAUUUUGAUUUAGGCAAAAUUCGAAACACGAAAACGGUAGUCCUUUGGGUUAGCUUUCUAAUCUAACUUAAAUCCGCUAGAUUGGAUGCUGUGUGACAAAGUUAUGCAUGAAUGAGUCACAUUUUAAAUUUUAGAUACCUCAAUACAUCAAAGUUGUGGGUAGUAUCCAUUGAUUCAUGUAUAUCUUUCUCGUCCGACAUCCAAAUUUGGUGAUUCAAGUUGGAUUAGAAAACUAAUUCAGAAUACUACAAAUUCUAUUUUUCGUUUUGCAAAAUUUGGAAUUAAAAAUGAUCAAAAUCACGUUUGAAGUCGUAACGAUAUUAUUACAGCUCAAACGACAUUUAUCACAUCCCUCAAUACAAUAAUAAAAUAUAUUUAAUUACCUUUAAUUUUGGAAAUGAUGACAUGUUUUUUGAUGAUUUAUUUUAAGUUUUUAACCAAUCAAUUUGCCACAUGGGAUGAAAUUGAAUACAUGUAAUCAAUUGAAAUUGCCAAAUGUCAAACAAUUAAUUAUGUGUUAUAUUUAGGUAGAGUUAAUUGUACUUGUUAUCUCGAGCUCGCUGGAAAAGUCACCGGAAAAUUCAACCUGGACAAAUUAUUCCGAUGCGUUAUUUAUCAGAUAAAAUAUUAGUGGUAAUGAAUGGAUAAAAAUAAAAUAAUAUGAGAAUGUUAAAUGAUUAAGAAGACUUUUAUCAUAACAAAAUUUGAAAAUAAUUUAGAUGAUCGAUAAGACUUUUCUUUAUACGAAUCAUUCUUCUUUAAAAUCGUUAGUUUACGUCGUAUAGUUACUUUUAUUGCUUAUAUUUACAAGAUUUAACUUUAUUACAUGGCUAAUUUUUUUACUUGCACUGCGGUUGCAUCAACUAAUAAUUCUAGAAAAAGAAAUAUCCAUUAAUCGAUCCAUUUUGGAAUUAAUUAUUCGGUUGUCAUCUGUUAACCGACCUAUAAAUGCUAGGUCGACAAUGGUUUUUAGCGGGAAAAUUACAUUUUUGGUCCCCAUAUUAUAUAUUUUUUUUCAAUUUUGGUCCUUAAAUUUUUUUUUCUGCCAAGAAAUGGUCCUCAAAUAACCAAUUAUUUUACACUUUCAGUCCACCGUUUGAUUUUGGCGUUAAUUUGGAUGGAAAAGGCACAUGGAGGUACGUGACCAUGCUAUUUCAACCCCUUUUUUAAAUCUAUUUAUGAUUCAGCCCCAAUUUUAAUUUAUUUCAACAAUUGCACACAAAAAGAAAAAUAUGUGAGUUGCAAUUCGUACCGCUGUUGCAGAAACUCUCUCUCUCUCUCUCUCUCUCUCUCUCUCUCUCUCUCUCUCUCUCUCUCUCUCUCUCUCUCUCUCUCUCUCUCUCUCUCUCUUCUUCUUCUUCUUUCCAAUUUUUUUGUUCUAUCUUAAAUAUGAGUCUUUUUACAAGCGGCCCUAUUAGAGGUCUAAUUGUCAAAAAGUACAUAUGUUAAAAAUAUUAGCAUUUGCCCUUAUAUUUUUUAGUCAAAGCCAACAAGACCCUUAUGAGCAAAUCGCGUGUUUCACUCACGGCUUGUGCGAGUAUUUCUUCGAUUUUGCUAUAUAAAUACCCUCCUAUAAAUGAAGAUAAACUCAAUUAGAUUUGAUUAUAAAUAAUCUAAAGGCUUAGGGACCAAAUAGCAAUUUCAAAAAUUCCUAAAGAAACCCUAAUUUUUAUCAGAUCCUCAAUUGUCCCUCCUCUUUCUUCACUAACUUCGUCCUCGUGCUCAAAUAAUCGUUGUCGUCGGCGGCAAUACAACAACACCACUACCCCGCAGCCGCAGCACAACCACCACCACAACCUCAGAACGUCGAAACACAUUAGAGCACGAACCCCCUUCUUGUUGGUAAUGGUGUUGGUGUUGAAAAUUGAAGAUGGUUGAUGGAUUGUCUUGAUUGUUGCUGAUUAAUUGAUUAGAACCAACUUAGUCUCUUUUGUCUUCAUGGACAUAUUUCAAUGUUAACAAUUUUAAAUCCUGCAUGCAAUACAAAAACAUUGAAUCUGAAUAGCAAAAUCAUUUAACCUAAAGAUGAGAGCAAGAAAGAGAGAGAGAAUAUGGAAAACAAUAUGAAAUGAAAUAGCAAAAUCAUUUAACAUUUUUCUCUUCAUCCACACUCUCAUCACCAGUAUCUUCAUUUUGUACCCCCUUCCUCUUUCUCGUACUCAGACCCUUGAUUGGCGGCAUCGUGUAACUUCAAAUUCCCUAGGUCGGUCUUGUCGAAUUAAUGAAUUUUUCUACUUCUUUCUUACCCUCGAAACGAAACCCUCUUCAGCGGUAACCUAAUCACGCAAUUCUUCUAUUUUUCUCAGUUUUUCCUUACCCCGUUAAGCAAAUCCCUCUUUCAGCGGUAAACUAAUGACGCAAUUUUUCCAUUUUUCUCAUUUCUCCUUACCCCGUUAACACAAUUCUAUUCAGCGGUAAAAUAGUUACGCGUUUGAAGUUUUUCCUAUUUUUUUUUUUUUUGCGGAAAUAUGCAAUACCCCUCAAAUGGAAAAUAUUUUGAACUAAAACCAAUUGACUUUUAGAGUUUUUUGCCUACACCCAAGUUUCAUUCUUAAUUAGUGAGACCCCCCUGACCAGACAUGAUAAGACUAAAGUGCCCUUAUGUGGUUAGGUUUUUAACGUGAUACAAUUUUAUUUCUCUCUCUCUCACACACACAAUUUCUCGUUUUUUUUUUCUUCUUCUUUCAGCAGAUAUGUAUACCUGCCGGCGCACUCCUUCAUUUUUUGCACACCACCGUCGUAGUCCGCUCACCAUAGCCACCGUUGUUCGUGCACUCGUCACCGCCGGAGCCAACAAUACCUUUCAACCGCCGGUCAGUCGAAACCUAAUGCAGGAGGCCCUCAUCCGUACAAGUGGUGGCGGCGGUGCCUCCCCCACCUCGUCGCAGCCCUUCAUCGGAUGCGUUACAUGAAGAUUUCCCUUUUUCGUUCUUUCUCGAUUUCUCAAUUUUUUUAUUUUUUCCAGAUUUGUUCACCACCGCCACCGUAGCCACGUCCCCACUCUCUUUUUCAUUCACCGUUGUUGUCGUCGCCUCCCCCUCCCUCCCUUUCGUUAUUUUCGGUUUUUUUCUUUUUUUUUCUCUCCAGAUCUGAAACAGCAGCAUCAACGUGACUACUUUGGUUCGAAUAUGACUAUUGUUGAUUCACUCGAUUAGUGAUUUAUUAUUUUCUCGUGUUCGUUGUCUCUCUCGAUUUCUCUAUCUUUACACCACCAUCGUCUCCACAUAGAUUUGUACACCACCAUUACCGUCGCCGCUCGUUGCCGUUCGUUUCCACGUAAGGCUAUUUCUCUCUUUUUCGUUAUCUUUUUCGUUAUCUUUUUCGAUUUCUCAGGUUUUUUUUCCAGAUUUGUCCACCACUACCACCGUCGCCGCCUCUCUCAUUCUCUUUCCUUCACUACCGCCGUUGUCGUCGACUCCCCAUGCCUCUCUUUUGUUAUUUUUCUAUCUUUAUUUAUGUUUUUUUCGAUUUUUUUUUCCAGAUCUGAACAACACCAGUAACAUGACUAUAGUAAUAUUUAUGUAUUUUUCGAAUAUGUUUGUAGUCAUAUUGGAAUAUGACUAUUGUUGAAUAUGACUGUAGUCAUAUUCGAAUAUGUUCUAUCUUCUCGUUUUCAAGUCGACUUCUAAUAACUAGAUUCAAAAUUGUUAUCUGUGGAUUUUGAUUGGAUUGUUUUCGUAAACAAUAGGGAAUCUUCGUUGUUUUAUAUAAUUUGGUAAGCAUGAGUAUACCACACUAUAUAAUCGGAUUUUUUAAGUUGAAAAUGUAAAAAAUUGUAAUAUAAUGAAAGAAUAUGUCUACAUAGUGACAUAUAGUCAUAUUCAACUCUAGUCAUAUUCGGAGUUUUAAACAUGUCGAGAAAAAAAAAUCAAUUUUUUGUUUAAAAAAUAUUAAAAAAAAUUAAAAAAACUAUUUUUAUUAAAAAAAAUAUUAAAAAAUAAAAAUAAAUAAAAAAUGGCUAAAUAAUCCGAAAAUAAUAAAAAAAUAAAAAAAAAUCAUUUUUUUUUAUUUGGUAGCAAAUUUUAGGAAUUUGGAAGCAGAUUUUUAGGAAUUAGAGAAAAAAGGAAUAAUUGAGACUAAUUAUGCUAAUUGACCUAAGGGUAGAAUUGGGAAUACAAUUUUUAGGGGGUUAUCACAAAGAAAGAUUUAAGGGGUGGACAUAUGACCAUUUAUUAUCUAUAUGACGGGUUUACUGCUAAUGACCCUUUUUUUAUUUACCAGUGAGAAGUCCAUUUUGCCAUUUUCCCUAGCCGUCAUUUGCCCCAAUUCCAGAAAAUCCAAGAAGGAUUUUACCCUUUCACUCUAGUCGCCGUUCUCUUCCACUUCUCGCCGCCGGAUCUCUCUCUCUCUUCUCUACCUCUGCUCUUUUUCUCCCAGCGAUCAGUACUCUUCCAACUCCGCCACUUCUCCCAUCUGAACUGGUUAGCUAACCUUUCUAAAACCCUAAAUUCUACAAUUAGGGUUUAUGUUUUUUAAUUCAUUUUUUUGUCUCAUGUAACGAACAAACCGUGAAGUCAAAAGUUGCUACAUUCUUCUAUUUUAUUUGGUUGGUGUUCAACAAAUGUGCAAACGUGCUACAUUGCUGUUAGUAUGUCUAUUUGUUAAUAACCUCAACUUGGAACUAUUAAUUAAUGUCUAAUUAAUGUAAUCGUAUAAUUUGGCAGAAUGGAAGAAAAAAAUGCAGUCAACUCUUACAAAUACAAAUGGGGUCAGAUCACCAAUUAGGUCAUUUGACCGAAACAAAUACACAUGUUUCGACACACUAGUUAAGUCAUGGUCUUCAAUGUUUAUGAGAUUCUGGCAACUUUUGAAGUUUCAUUUCAACCUACAAUUAUACUCCAAGCUUAGAAUAAAACAAGCCAAUCAAAAUAUAUGUACAGCAUGAUUACCAAGCCAGUAAAGGAGCAAGAUUAGAAACUGUAAUUGAGAAAUAAACAAUCAUAAGUGCACAUCUAGAUGGGUAACUUACAGGCAUAUGAUGAUCUGCUAAAAAGAAUUUAUAGCCUUUCAUAUGGUAAUGAUUCAGGCCAAGUCGCUAUCUUCAUCAAUGAUCUGAAGUUCUUCCUUCUCAAUGUCACAAUAGUUAACCAAUGUAUCAUCUUCUUCAUCAACAUGAUCUUCAAAAAUAUCGAAAUCGUCAAUCUCAAUUUCCAUGCUUUGAAUUGCAUCAGCCUCAACAACUCCAGCAUCAACAUCUUUUCUUUCAAGGGACACCAGCUCACUUACGUCAAAUUGAAUGGGCAUAAGAGGUUCUAAUGGUUCGUCUUCUUGGUACACAUCAUCGUCUUCCCCACCAUCUCCAUCUUUUAUCUCUAAGGAUUCAAACACGUGGCGAUGCUGAAAUUUUAUUACUAUUCGUCAAUCUUUGCCCAAUUUCAUAUCAUCAAGGUACAAUACUUGUUUUGUUUGACAUGCGAGUAUAAAAGGAUCAUUCUCAUACCAAGUACGACUAAUGUUUAUGCUUUUAGUUUCCCCUCAUGUAUGAUGGAUUUCUUGUUUUCAAGAUUAAACCACUGAGCCUUAAACAGAACAACAUGAUUACCUUUGAUAUAGUCCAACUCAAUUAUUUCGGUUACGAUGCCGUAAAACUCAAUAACAUUGUUAUUAUGGUAACCUUCAACCAUGACACCACUAUUUUGAGUUGUACGACGACCAUCUCGCUCCUUAGUAUGAAAUCUAACUCCAUUUACAAUUUACCCUGGAUAUUUCUUCACAAUCAUACUAGGUCCGCAUGCUAGUCCAUACAAUUUAUCUAUGCCAUCUUGUGGAUUUUGUAACUUCUUUUGUGCCAUCUGUAUAGUCCAUAAGAUAUUGUUAGAGAAUCUCAAAUACAAAAUAAUAUAAGUAACUACAAUAAGCUAAGUUUUAGUAAUUCUACUCACAUGCUGUUUUAAACCAUUGUGGAAAUAACUUUUUGUGCAUUUCCUCUAAGUUCAAGAGAUUUUCUUGUUUGAGUAUCUCUUCGUGUUGCCUGCACAAACAUAAUUUUUUUGUUAAAAAAAUUUAAACAGUAAGGUUAUAAACAGGUAAAUAGUUAUAUUAUUUGUGUUCAACUGUGGACUACUUACUGAAAGAAUUCUUCUACUUCUUCACAAUUGCUCAAGAUAUACCGUCGACCCAUAUCCAACUCGGUCCUACAAAGCUCUUCAUAUUUUGUUGCUCCAAACGGUCGCGACUUUUGUGAGAAAAUAGACAACUUACGAUCGACUUCAAUAUCCGUAUUCCGUUCUUCUUUGUUGAAGCAAGACUCAAUUCCAUCAAGGUACAUUGAGCAAAAUAUAACAUUCAUUGACAAUAUAAGCUUCUACAAUCAAUCCUUCUGGACGAGCUUUAUUCCGCACAUAAUCCUUUAGCGUACCUACAUAUCUAUAAAAUAAUAUUAAUUAAUAAUAAAGUAUAUUUCUCUAACCAUCAUUACAUUAUAAACUGAAUAUUUAUUUAAUGAUAUAGAAAUGUAAAUCAUUAUAAAUUUGUAAUUUAUUACAUUCGUCGCUAAAUGUAUAUGGCACACUAUUCACAACAUUGAGUUCCGUUGUCGAAUGAGAAUAAAAUGCUACAAAAAUAGAUCGUUGUCGAAACUUUAAACUUCAGCCACAAAUUACAUUUUUUGUUGCCGAAACAUAACUAUUGGUAGCGAAUUUCAUAUCGUAGUUAACAAUUUGUUGCCAAUUUCCCAAUUUCUUGUUGUGAACCAAUUAGGUCAUUUGACCGAAACAAAUACACCUGUUUCGACACACCAGUUAAGUCAUGGUCUUCAAUGCUACAAUCGUGCUAUCGAGUUAUCUCAUCAUAAAUACAUGAAAUACAUUUUUUAUGAUGACAAGCAAACAACUAUGUUAUGUUACACUCGAUAACUACAUUGACAAGUUGAAGCUACGAAAAAAUAAACCCGAAAUGCCCAUGGUGGAUUAUGUUAGAAAAACUCUCCAAGACAGACAUUAUUAUAUGAACCCGUUGUAUAGGUUGAUAGUGAAAACGAUGCUUCAAUAUAUAGUCGACCAACAUGUUGCAAUGUUUUCGUUGACAAAGUUUGAAACGAAAAAUAUAGUAUUCGUAGGGGGUGUGCUCAAGUUUUUUGAUGUUGGAUCCCGUCCUAGCUCAUACGUCACACAUAAAGAAGAUUUCUUGUGUUUGUUUAAUAUAAUUAAAACACUAUUAGCUGGAACCCCACCGACGGCGGAACUAAACGCGUUUCUCACAUUGAUGGAACAACUUGAUUGCAAGAGGUAACAUAUACCUAACAUAAUAUACUAGUAUGAGUCCAUUUAUUUGUGUUUAUAUUCUUAUUAUGAUUUAAUGUUAAUAUUAAUUCAUUUGAAGGGACAAUUGUGGAUUGGUUUUGCUGAAUCAUUUGGCAAUUAUGUCGCCAAUGGAGUCAUUGCAGUUCUUCAUCUCAUGUAACAAGAGAGUGCCAUUUCUCACUCAACAUUUUAUGAGUUGCUAUGAUUAUGCUACUCAUAAAAUGAUUAUGUGUACGAAAUGGAACGAGAGGUUCAAUGUUGAGGAACCCAAUGAGCGAUCCAUAGAAAAAUGCUUCAAGAACCAUAAUGAUAACUAUAAUUUCAUCACUUUUAAUAUCGUUUUCUAUCCUAGUGGACCUAAGGUGAAUAAAAGUUUCUUGAGGUGUUGUCGUAAUCUCACGGUUCAUGUCAAAGAAAAGGUACAUGAUUCCACUCUGUUGUGUGACCUUGAUGUCGAAAGAAUGGUCAUGUAUGUGUUUGGUCCGGAACUACUUUCAUUCUAGAAGAAAUUGGGUACUUGUGAGUGUUUGGCACCAUUUGUACGACAUGAUUGAAGUUUAGAAUUUGUAAUAUUUUAUAUUUUUUAAUUAAAAAUUGUAAUGUUUAUUUCAUGUUUUUUUAGGAAUGAAUUAUUUUUCUCUUUUGGAGAAAAAGAAAAAUAUUAUUAAUUUUCCAACAAUUUGUAUUUGUUUUGUAACAUAUGCUACAUAAAUGAACUGUUUGUAUUAGCGUAUGUAAGUAGUAUCUUUAAGCCAAAUCAGAUAUAAAUUGAGAAAGGUUAAAGAAUAAUAUAAUUUAAUUUAUGUUGUGUAUGAAACUAAAAAGUUUUGAAGUCUUGGUAUGAUUGCUAAAAUGUUGAGCAUGUUCGCAAAAAUACUAUUAUAUAUAGUGUGGAAACAAAAUCCGAGAAAAUCAGUGUGGAGGAUCAACCGAUAAUUUCAUUGAAGACAUGAAGUUUUUGGUUGUUAGCCUAUUGAAUGAAGAUCUUCAUGUUCGGAAUAUAGAUGAUUGUACCAAACUGGUAACUAAAUACAAAGGUAACAAAGAUACGAGCUUUAUUCCGCACAUAAUCCUUUAGCGUACCUAAAUAUCUAUAAAAUAAUAUUAAUUAAUAAUAAAGUAUAUUUUUCUAAUCAUCAUUACAUUAUAAACUGAAUAUUUAUUUAAUGAUAUAGAAAUAUAAAUCAUUAUAAAUUUGUAAUUUAUUACAUUCGUCGCUAAAUGUAUAGGGCACACUAUUCACAACAUUGAGUUCCGUUGUCGAAUGAGAAUAAAAUGCUACAAAAAUAGAUCGUUGUCGAAACUUUAAACUUCAGCCACAAAUUACAUUUUUUGUUGCCGAAACAUAACUAUUGGUAGCGAAUUUCAUAUCGUAGUUAACAAUUUGUUGUCAAUUUCCCAAUUUCUUGUUGUGAACCAAUUAGGUCAUUUGACCGAAACAAAUACACCUGUUUCGACACACCAGUUAAGUCAUGGUCUUCAAUGCUACAAUCGUGCUAUCGAGUUAUCUCAUCAUAAAUACAUGAAAUACAUUUUUUAUGAUGACAAGCAAACAACUAUGUUAUGUUACACUCGAUAACUACAUUGACAAGUUGAAGCUACGAAAAAAUAAACCUGAAAUGCCCAUGGUGGAUUAUGUUAGAAAAACUCUCCAAGACAGACAUUAUUAUAUGAACCCGUUGUAUAGGUUGAUAGUGAAAACGAUGCUUCAAUAUAUAGUCGACCAACAUGUUGCAAUGUUUUCGUUGACAAAGUUUGAAACGAAAAAUAUAGUAUUCGUAGGGGGUGUGCUCAAGUUUUUUGAUGUUGGAUCCCGUCCUAGCUCAUACGUCACACAUAAAGAAGAUUUCUUGUGUUUGUUUAAUAUAAUUAAAACACUAUUAGCUGGAACCCCACCGACGGCGGAACUAAACGCGUUUCUCACAUUGAUGGAACAACUUGAUUGCAAGAGGUAACAUAUACCUAACAUAAUAUACUAGUAUGAGUCCAUUUAUUUGUGUUUAUAUUCUUAUUAUGAUUUAAUUUUAAUAUUAAUUUAUUUGAAGGGACAAUUGUGGAUUGGUUUUGCUGAAUCAUUUGGCAAUUAUGUCGCCAAGGGAGUCAUUGCAGUUCUUCAUCUCAUGUAACGUGAGAGUGCCAUUUCUCACUCAACAUUUUAUGAGUUGCUAUGAUUAUGCUAUUCAUAAAAUGAUUAUGUGUACGAAAUGGAACGAGAGGUUCAAUGUUGAGGAACCCAAUGAGCGACCCAUAGAAAAAUGCUUCAGGAACCAUAAUGAUAACUAUAAUGUCAUCACUUUUUAUAUCGUUUUCUAUCCUAGUGGACCUAAGGUGAAUAAAAGUUUCUUGAGGUGUUGUCGUAAUCUCACGGUUAAUGUCAAAGAAAAAGUACAUGAUUCCACUCUGUUGUGUGACCUUGAUGUCGAAUCAAAUCAGAUAUAAAUUGAGAAAGGUUAAAGAAUAAUAUAAUUUAAUUUAUGUUGUGUAUGAAACUAAAAAGUUUUGAAGUCUUGGUAUGAUUGCUAAAAUGUUGAGCAUGUUCGCAAAAAUACUAUUAUAUAUAGUGUGGAAACAAAAUCCGAGAAAAUCAGUGUGGAGGAUCAACCGAUAAUUUCAUUGAAGACAUGAAGUUUUUGGUUGUUAGCCUAUUGAAUGAAGAUCUUCAUGUUCGGAAUAUAGAUGAUUGUACCAAACUGGUAACUAAAUACAAAGGUAACAAAUAUACUCAUUUUGUUUCGGUGGAUUAGAUCAAGCAUUUAUUGCUAGUGGAAGUGAAGACUUAAAGGUAAUGUAAUGAAGAAUCAGAGCGCAAUCUCUUUUUUUCAUAACUUGUUGGAUUGACAGAGCAUUUUCAAUAACCAUUACUUUCAUUUGGCCCAAAGGCUUCAAUGAAGCUUAGAACGAGCCCUGCCACUGUUUAUCGCAUAGUUAUAGAUUAUGUGUUGCCAUUUUGUGUGACUAAAAUUGUUGAGGGUAUAUGCAUGCAAGAAUGUGUGGUCAUAUGUCGUAUUUUGUAUGAAUUCACAAAUGAUAUAACUGUUUAUUGCAUUCAACACCUUGUUCUCUUUGGAAUUGUUGAAAAAACCCCAUAAAGUCCGUAGAAGAUUUGUCAAUUCUACGCCCUCUUCUCUUUUCUCAAUAUCGUAAAAUGGAGUUUAAGGGAUAUGAAUUCACCUCGCAAUCAUAUAUAAUCGUUCUCGACCCUUCCAUAUCUGUCAUUCUCCUCAUCCACUUGCUCUUCAUCUCCAUAGACAUGUCCUGGUACUUCGGCCCAAACGGGGCGUGGCACUGGCUCCACACAAUCCGUAAAAUUGAACUGCAACUUUGCUCCAACAGACUUCACCAUCUUGCCAAUCUAGCUUAUAGUAGCUUUCAUCUCCUGCCGGAAAUCCUCGUGCGCGCCUGCUUCCUGCUGAAUCUGUCGGACUGUUCGUGAAAGCUCGGCUUUUGUCAAUGGUGUUACACUGAUUUUUUUUUUCUUGAGGUAGAAAUGUUGUUUUGGGCACAAAAUGUUUGAUUUAACGUGAAAAAAAUACAAUAAAUUUGUUGGAUCGUUGAACAUGGAGAAUGGCCUCGUCAGUUAAUGGUAGAUUUCCAUUGGAUAGUGGUGAUGUCGGAGUGUCAGCUGGAGCUUUGCCUUUCUUACCCUUGUGUUUCUUACCCACUCGAGAUGACCCUUCCCUGGAGGUAGGUUUGAGAGGUUCCGGAGGGUUGGUUAUUAGCCUUUUGGAAGAUUCCAUAAUACGACGAGCUCUCGAAAAAAUGGUGAUAAAUGAAGCCAAUUGAACCCCAAACUUGACUUGGACAAUUCGUCGAACACCUUCCGUGUAAUGAGGAGGUGGUGAGUAAAUUGUAUUAAGUUCAACCUAAACCUGCAAAAAUCAUACAAAUGAUCUAUCCAUUCAUGUUCUGUCACUUUAGCGACACAAGCCCCAAUCGAAAGAACCAUUGAUCAAAUAAUACAAGUAAAAAUGAACUCCAAAAGCAAAAAGAGUCUCAUACCAUUUAUCAUGCAAGGGACACAAUAUCGCUUAGUGAGACACUUGGUGCAGUGUACCACUCUUUCUUUAUCAUUCCUCUUGCACUGGUGACACGUGUUAACGCUUGUCCUCCUUCGCUUGUUAAAAUCGACAACCCAAAGGCCAACCAUCCCAAUAAAACAAAUUAGCAAGAUGACUCCGGAAAAAAAAAAAUCCAAAAUAGAAAAUAAAAUGAGUAUACAGAAUGUCCUUCCAUCUUUCAGUAAAUGGAAGUGUGUCCUGGAGAAAAAAAUAUUCCCAACUCCUUAAGAAGACACAUUUUCACAUAAUUCUUAACAAGCAACAAGAUCAGAUGAUGAUGAUGAUGAUGAUGAUGAUGAUGAUGAUGAUGAUGAUGAUGAUGAUGAUGAUGAUGAUGAUGAUGAUGAUGAUGAUGAUGAUGAUGAUGAUGAUAUCUACUGAGAAAGCUUUAAAAGGGUCGUUAAUACAUAUAAAGAGUAUAUGAAAACUGAAUAUGUGUUGCAUUAAAUUAAAAGAGCAAAUUAAACAAUCGCAACAUCCUCACAUACUCUUUCUUACCUCGCAUGUCUUGCUCCCAUAUCCAUCCUCAUACAAGAUGUGGUAGCAAAGGUAAUUGCUCAGAGCGCAGCCUGUACCCUAGUUUCCCUUACCCUGUUAAAAAAAAAUCCCUCUUCAUCGGUAACCCCUAAUGACGCAUUUUUUCUAUUUUUAUCAGUUUUUCCCUUACCCCGCUAACAAAAUUCCUCUACCGCGUUAAGGAAAUGACGCAAUUUUUCUAUUUUUCUCACUUUUUCCUUACCCCAUUAACAAGAUCCCUCUACCGCGUUAAGGCAAUGACGCAAUUUUUCUAUUUUUCAUUACUUUUCCUUACCCCGUUAAAAAAAUCCUCUUCAGCGGUAAACUAAUGACGCAAUUUGAAGUUUUUUUGUUUUUUUUCACUAGGCCAAAACACGACACUGGCGACGAAAAUUUGCGACGAAAAUGACUCAUUUGCGACGAAAAUUGCAUGUUUGCGACGCAAAAUAUUCGUCGCAAUGAUGGUCCAAAAUCGUUGCUCUGUGUCUCGUCGCAAAUACUGCGACGAAAUUGUUUUCCGUCGCUCCGUAUGCGACGAAACGGUUAAAUCGUCGCAAUAUUUAGAUUUUCCUAGAAUAUCCAUUUUAUUUUCUAUUGCGACGAUACAUACUCUUUUCGUCGCAAUAUAUUGCGACGAUACAUACUCUUUUCGUCGCAAUAUAUUGCGACUUUAAAGUCAUAAUCGUCGCAAAUAAUUUAGAUUUUUUGCGUCAAAAUAUUUGAUUUCGUAGAUACACUAAAGUCAAUUUGCGACGAUAGUGGAUCCAUAAUCCGUCGCAUAUCUGUAGCUAUUGCGUCGAAAUAUAUUUGGUCCCAAAAUAAAUAUUUUUUCUUUUGCGACGAUUUCAAUUUUUAGUCGCAACUGCAACUGCAACUGCUUUUUUUUUUUCUUCUUAAAUCAGAUUUCUUUUUUCUAAUAAAAAAUUAAAUAUGUACAUCAAUUGCAAUAAAUAAAAUUAGCUAUUACAUCAAAUACCAAAACACAUUAAAAUAUAAGUCUUACAUUAAAAGUAAAUAUUAAGGUAACACACAAAUACGAAUUCAAAAAAUACAUAAACUCAAAAUAAAGUCGUACAUAAGAAAAAGAAAAAAAAUUAAGUCGCACACAAACAUGAAUCCAAGUAAGACAUAAACAAGAAUUAAUCCUUGUUUUGCGCCCACACGUUUAAUCCCAACUCCUUUACACUUCCCCAACACUCUUUCAUAAACUAAUGAGUUGGCCGUACUUUCGUCACUUCCACCAAGUCUACACUCUUCUUAAACUUUCUUCAAUUCAGCCUAAACAACUUAAGUGCACAAGUUAAACCCAAAUUUCGGCGGCAUAACGACUAAAAUACAAACAUACAAAAAAAAUACCCUUAUCGAUAUACAAUAACCAACAUAUCCAAAAAAUACAUAAAUCCAUAUAUAUCAACUACUAAUUCAACAUAUCAACACUGUGCUUGCAUAUCAACAUAUCAAUGGACAAUCAAGUAAUAGAUCGGAACUACGCCAUAGAUACAUAAAUUUUAAAAUAAAUCCCAACUUAACAUUCAACAAAAAGAGCAAACAUGGAUAAUUGAGAUACUAAAAUUGAAGUAUUAAAAAUAUUGUGCUUACAGAAAUAGCAAGUUGGUCGGGAGUAGCUGUCCCUGUAAACGGUUGUUCCAUAUCAUCUCUUCACUAGUGGAUGACCCCAUUGCUUGUAAUGAAUCAAUGCCCAUAUAGGCUUUCUUAUAUUUAUCAACCACUGUAGGAGUUUUACUAAAUUUGUUAAAUUGUAAUAAUAAAUUACAAAGUAAUUAGACAUUUUAAAUCUUAAAGAAAUAAAACUCAUAGUUACAAUCACUUACAUGUUUAUAGGACCAACUAUUGAUACUAGUUCGACCCCAAUGAUGGUCUGUUGCAGCUGCCUUUCGUGAAUCCUUACGUUUACUAAAUUUGGACUGUGAACAUAGAGCACAUUAAUAGACUACUAUAUAUACGAAUAUCCUCAGUUAAUAUUAAAAGUACAAUUUACCUUCCAUUUACCUCCAAGAUUAGACAUAUAAUGAAAUUGCUCACAUAAUUCCUGCCCACAUAUCACCACUGAUCCUUGAUGAAAACUAAUCAACUAACAUAUUUACAAAAUUCUAUAUUAAGCUAAUAACUCGGCAAAAAUAUUGAUGCAAUUUCUUAGAUAACUAAUAGGAAAGUCAAAAUUCAUGUACUGUUGGAGAUUGAAAUCAAUGAAAAUUAAAGACACAUGCCAAGGUAUAAGCGAUUAUGCCUUCCAGAUUGUUCAAAAUAUUGUUUUUUUUAGAAUAUUAGACUCACAUCACAUUCACAACCAUAUACUGAUACAAUCAUCUUCAAUCAAAUAAAAAACAAACAACAACAAACCCAAUUCACUUAAUGGAGAUAUUUACUGGAAAAGAAUGGAGAAAAGCACUAACGUAUAUAUUGUGGAGAGAUAUAUGUGGGCGGCGGAAUAGGGGCUGCUGAAUCUCAACAACAGAGUGGGCAUCGGAGUGUGGCGACGAAGAGACACCGCCGUAUUGGGCUGCAGGGUAGGGGCUGCUGAAGUGAGACGACAUAGUGGGCGGCGGAGUGUGACGCCGCCUCAGUGGGCUGCGGCUGGAGCUCGACGGCGGAGUGGGCGGCAGAGUAUCACGCUGCCGGAGUGGGCUGCGGGAUAAGGGCUUAUGAAACUCGACGGUGGUGUGGGCUGUGGAGUGUGACGCUGCCUGAGUGGGCUGCAACUGAAGCUCGACGACGGAGAGGGAGGCAGAGUGUGACGCUGCCGGAAUCGGCUGCGUGAUAGGGGCCGUUGAAGCUCGACGGGAGAAUGGGUAGCGGUCGCCGGAGGGGCCACCGGAUUUGUGCAGCAGUCAAGGAGACAAAUUGAGAGGGAAAGACAGGACAAAGACGAAGAAAAAGAAUUUGGAGGAGAAUCGGCAAUUUAGGGUUGAAAAUUAAAAAAAAUUGCCACGUUAACCUAAACAACGUCGCAUUUAAUUAGAAAAACAAUAAAUUAUUGCGACGUUUUCUCAAUCGUCGCACAAAAAGGCGGAAUUUUUUCAGAAAUUUGAUUUUUGCAUACAAAAAAAGCGCGAAAUUUUAAUUUUCCAAAUUUAAUUGCAACUUUUAGAUUAUAUUCGUGCGACGAUUCUAUGUUUCGUCGCAAUUGUAUUUUUUAUUUAUCUAAAAUUUUGAUUUUAAUAUGUGAGUAUUCAUUUUCGACACAAGAAUUUCUGAAUUUGGAAGAUAUGCGACGUUACUGUCGAAAUCGUCGCAAACUUAUGCUUAAUAAAAUAAAAUUUUAAUCUUCUCUCUGCGACGAUUAUCUAGUUUUGUCGCAAUCGUGUCAAAAAUUAAUUUUACGGAGCAACUUGUGGCGUAUUUCUAGUUUCGUCGCAAUUAUUUAAUUUUAUAAAUGUUGAAAUAUUUUUUAUUGCGUCGUUUUGAUUAUUAUCGUCGCAACUGAUGUAUGUAAUUUUUUUAUUAUUAACUGUUGCGACGAUUUUUAAUUUUCGUCGUUCAAUUGCGACGAUUACUGAGAAUCGUCGCAUAUGUUUGAAGUUAAAUUGGAUCUUAAACUCAUUGCGACGUUUUUGGUACAAUAACGUCGCAAUACUGCGACGAAACUUGAAUCGUCGCAAAUAAAAUCGUCGCCAGAGUGCAGUUUUGGCCUAGUGUUUUUCUUCUAAAACAAAUUUCCCAACAUUCAUUUUUAUGACACAUAUAUACUUCUUUUUAUCAUUUUUAUGACAUAUCUCAAAUGUCAAUUAUUCUAUUGUGCAAUAGAAAAAGACCAAAUAUUUGCCAAAUGAUCAACUUUGAACCAAAGAUGCAUAAGUUAUGUCAUGAUUGUUGUCUAGAAUCAUAGAAAGGAGUAAGAAAUAAAAGAAACUAAAACAUUAGAUACAAAUAAUUUCACCGUCCAGUAUUUGAAGAACAAAAAAGAUAAAAAUAAUACAAGAGAGAAUUUGAAGAUCAAAAUAAAACAUCUUUUACAUAGAAUAGAGAAGCAAGGAGAUAUUUUUUUUCUAGCAAGAAUCUCUUUGGAAAAAGAGCCAAAAGGAACAACAUGGCUCAAAUGAAAAACAAAUACAUUUGUCCCCAACAUUAAUUAGAGAGAUCAAAAUCAAGCAUAAGCUUGAGAGUUUUAGUGACAUGCCCAAGCUUUUCACCAAGACAACUGUGCUUCUUCUCCGUCGCUCUUUUGAAUUGCUCGGUAUCAGUCCGAUAUAUAUUCAGUAUCACACGUAGAUUUUGGGCAUCAGGAUAGUCUGGAUGAAACUGUGCUUGCACAAUAACCAUAUGGAAAACACCAUCUUCACUAUGACCUAAAAGUGUCGUAUAUUUAGUUUUUCCAACGGUUUUGUAAUUUUUGCUAACGGUUAUAUCCGUUAGAAUUUUUUGACCAUGUCUUUCUAAUGCCGUUUUUCUAACGGAAUUCCGCCGUUAGAAAUAAUUUUUCUAACAGACUAUAACUGUUAGAAAAAGGUCGUUUUGGUGUAGUGAUAUGCAGAAAAAUUAAAUUAAAAUCCAUAAGCUGCGGCGACGAAGAAAAAAUCUUCACAAAAUCGAAACGAAGAACAAUCAGACGUCUCUACUACUGACCAACAAUUGAAACGAGAAACAAAAUUAACCACGAACAAUCGCUCGAAACAGUAACUUGACGCCUGAAGGAAGAGUGCUUCUCCUCCACACGCCGGCGACGGGUGUUUCCUCUUCUUUCUUUCUCCAUCUUCCGGCGGCGGAGAGAAAUUUGUCGGAGAAAAAAAAGAAAAAAAAAAAGAAAGAAGAAAAAACGGAGAAAAGAGAAGUUAGAAACGAGGAAGGAGAAUGGAAAAUGAAAAAUGAAAAAUGAGAUUAGAAUUUUGAAAGAGUAUAUUGACAAUUAAGAGUAGUUUUGGAAUUAUGAAAAUAUCAUUUGGCUGAAAUAUUAGCUAAGGGAGUUUUCUUUAAUUAUUUUUGGGAGAUAGUGUUUCAUUAACUACAUUUUCUACAUGUGGGGUUCUUGCUAAAUUUCUCUUAAUAUAUAUUCAGUGGCGGAUCUGACUAUGGUAUAGGGUGUGCAACUGCACACCCUUGAUUAAAAACAAAAUUGUAUUUUUAUACUAAUGCUAACAAGAAAGGCUUGUAGUUUAUUAAGUUUGUAAAUCGUAAUGCUAAUUUUGCUUCUCAUAAUCUUGCUAAGUGGGCUCAUCAUCUUUCUUGGGGUGGAGUUGUAGCUCCUAAUUAUAUCCAUAUUAGUUGUUUUUGUGAUGGUGGGCACCCUCUUUUUUAUUCUUGUAAUUUUUGUCUUGAGUAAUUCUACUGCAUCUUUCGAAAAAAAAAAGGUGGUAAAGAGCAUGUUCUUGCAUUUAAUAUAUAGUAAUAAAAAUAAGGGGUUUUCUCGUAAUAUAUAAGAUAUUAAAUACAAAAAUAAUCAUAACAAAAAAGAAAAUGUCUAUUGAGGAAGUGAAGAUCCGCAAAGAGCUAGAGUAAAGAUGGAAAUUGAGAACUUGGAGGAAGAAAUCAAGGAGCGAAUUUACCAUUUUGCCCUCAAACUACACAAAUUUUACCAACACCAGAAAGAAAAAAGAUUAAAGCAAUAUUCAUCAUGUGAUCAGCCAAACGAACAAGGCAACUUUAUUACAAGGGGAAAAAUUAUGUCUUAGGUUAACAUAACUCAAAAUGGAAGGUGGAAAUAUUAUUCAGAUUAAAGAAAUCAAGAAAGAAGACCAAUCCGGGAGGGGCAAUUUCGGCCCUAUAAAUAUUAUCCCUAGUAAUCCAAGACAUGCACGAAAUGUUCGAGGGAAGACAACCCCUCCCGUUCGUCGUACCGUCAAGUUUAAUUGGACAGAUCAUAGUCUCAGAUCCGGAUCCAACGUUGUCAAGGUUAAUCCUCUGCGAUCACGGCGGGAUAAUAAUCGGGAUAAAGUCGAUGUGGAGAUCAAGAAAACUGGAUUAUUGAAAGUGGGGUGGAAAUAUUAGUAGCGUUUUGGCUCCAAGUAAAUAAUUCGAAUACCAAGAAAACAAUUUGAAUAUUUUUAUGCGAAUUCCUUCAUUCACUCUAGUUUCUUGGUAUGCUUCUCUAUCUCCAAACAUUAACAUCAAACAUGUGAAGAUUUUUACUUGCACAUUUCGAUUGUGCUUAAAGACAACCCCAAAAGAUUUUUUUUGAUAUAUCCCUUCAAAGUAAAGCACCCUUGUUUAAAACCAAACCAUAUUCUCAAUUUGAUGAAAAUAAAUAAAUUUAAAAUUGAAAAAAAAAAUUUAAAUAUAAGUAUGCACUAAAUUCUCACUUUCUUGCAGAGAUAUUUGGCGGGUAAAUCGGAAUCAAAUAUAACAGAAAAUGACAUUAAAAGGUUUAUACAUCCUUAAACUCGACAUGUUUUUAUGUCAAGUACUCAUUACAAGUGAAUGGUUGAAAAUGCCACGUGUCAUUAUCAAUCUAUACUUGAUAUAAAAUCAUGUUACAAGUUGUAUAAGAUUUGAAAAUAGUGGAGUAUAUUAAAAAUGGUUCUUUUGUAUUAUCAAAUUUCGUAGGGUUUUUUUUAUAUGCAUUCGAUUCGACUCGUAAAGCUCGAUUGACGGCGUACUUUUUGUGAACCAAUGUUCUUUUGCAAAUUUUAGAACCUUCGGAAUUUGUAAGUAUUCGUUUUAUAGAAAUUUUAUUGUUCCAUAUUAUGUUCAGAAUUUCAAUAAUGCAUUAGUUGUAUUUUUCUCGAUUCUACGAUUUAUCACUCUUAACUAGUUAAACGAUAUUUACUAGAGACAUAAUUGGUGAUGAACACUACAAUCACUUUCUAUGUUUUUUGUUGCAAUCCAUAAGUAUUUAUUGAUUUUCCUAAUUAGGUUUCAGUAAUUCAAAAUCUCAAAUAUUUUGACACCAAGAGUACAUAAUAUAUAUUGAGUGUCAUAUAUAUUAUGUGGCGGAUUUGGCUAAGGUAUAGGGUGUGCAGUUGCGCACGUUUUUUUAAGAACAAAAUUGUAUUUUUAUACAUAUGUUAAUAAAAAGGCUUGCAGUUUAAGUGGUAAAGAGCAUGUUGUUGCAUGUAAUAUGUUUAUGAUUGGAUUUCCCCCCUUUCAAAUACAUUUAUUUAUCACUCCUAAAAUUUGCAAAUGAAAUUUUUUAUGUGUAUGUUAUUAAAAAAAACAUCCAGAGCAUUGCUCCUGAAUCACCGUAAAUUUUUCAUCCACCAUUUUUAUAAAGUGAUAAUUUUUUUAUUUUUUUUAUUAUACACAAUUUUGAACGCCUUCGGCAAAAAUCUUGGAUUCGCCAUUGUAUAUAUUUAUGUACUAUUUAUUACUAGAGAAACUUAUUAAUUUUUUUGGUUUUUUUUCAAGGACUAAAGAGUUAGCAAUAUAUAAUAUAUUAAUACAAUAAUAAUCAUAACAAAAAAAAUGUCCAUUGAGGAAGUGAAGAUCCGGGAAGAGCUAGAAAUGGAAAUUGAGAAGAACUUGGAAGAAGAAAUCAAGGAGGGAAUUUACCAUUUUGCCCUCAAACUACACAAAUUUUACCAACACCAGAAAGAAAAAAGAUUGAAGCAAUAUUCAUCAUGUGAUAAGCCAAACGAACAAGGCAACUUUAUUACAAGGGAAAAAAUUAUGUCCGAGGUUAACAUAACCAUCAAAAUGGAAGGUGAAAACAUUAUUCAGAUUAAAGAAAUCAAGAAAGAAGACGAAUUCGGGAGGGGCAAUUUCGUCCCUAUAAAUAUUAUCCCUAGUAACCCAAGACAUGCACGAAAUGUUCGAGGGAAGAAAGCCCCUCCCGUUGCUCGUACCGUCAAGUUUAACUGGACAAAUAGUCUCAGAUCCGGAUCCAACGUUGUCAAGGUUAAUCCUACGCGAUCACGGCGGGAUAAGAAUCGGGAUAAAGUCGAUGUGGAGAUCAAGAAAACUGGAUUAUUGGAAGUGGGGUGGAAAUUUUAGUAGCGUUUUGGCUCUAAGUGAAUAAUUCGAAUACGAAAAAUAUAUUUAAAUUAUUAUAAUAAUCAUGACUUAUUUUAAAAGUUGUGAUAACUUAAACAAAUGUUUAGAAAUUGUUUGAAAAUAAUAAGUUAUUUGUUUUUAUAUCUAAUCAUUUUCAUAUUUGUUUUUACAUAUUAUAUUUUAUGUUAAUUUAUUAUUUAUUCCAUUUAUUUUAAUUAUCAAAUAUUUAUCAUAAAAUAUAUAAAUUUAAAUAUUCAGAAAGACAUUUUUUUUUGGAGAAAAGGAAAAUUUCAUUUCAGAUAAUUGAUUCAACUAUUACAAUGUUUUGAAUAUCCAGUGGCAAAGAUUUGGAAAUAGUCGGAUCUUUAAAAGACAGUUGAGCUAAAGCAUGAGCUGCACCUUUCCCAUCCCGGCGUAUAUGAAGAGCAGAAAAAAAAACUCGAAACAUGGUGCAAAUUAUAAUUAAAUAAAAACAAUGGAAUUAAAACCAACUAAAUAUGAUGAAUUAUGAAAAUUAUGACGGUUUAAUUACGAUUUGUUCUUAAUAUUUAGAUUUUAAGUUAUAUAUAUAUAUAAUUUAAAUUACUCAUGUAGAUAUUUAAUAUCAUAAAAUAUUACUAUAUUUGGAAAAUCAUAUGAGGAUGAUAUUAGUAAAUUUCAAAAAAAAUAAAAAUAUAUGAAAUAAAUAAUUAAUAUUAUACAAAUUAAUCUUCAUAAAAACAAAUUAUAUAAUUUUGAGUAUUAUUAUUUAAACCGAGACAGUAAACCAAAUAAAUAGAAUGGAAUUACAUUUUUUCAUGUAACUUUUUUUUUUUAAUAAUAUGGAAUAACCAAAAAAAAUCUUUUUUGCCAAUAAUUAAGAUUAAAAUUCAAUUAUAUCAAUAUUAGCUUAUAACUACUUAAAAAUUAAUUAAAUUAAAUCUGGGCUAAUUCUGAUAUUUGGGCUUAAUCACUAUGGAGCCCAUAUUAAAGUAGAGUGUAUUUAAAGUGGAUGAGAGAGGGCCUAACUUUAUAAAACAGAUGUGAAUUAACAACUGCUGCUGUCUUUUCUGGGUCCUUUGUUUCUGCCAUUAUUUUACCACUUUUUUUUAGAAGAUUCUGAUUGGCUGACAAUAUAAUAAUUUAUUUUAAAAUAGUUAUCAGUAGCCAAUUGGAUUCGAACACGUGUCAUUUAAUUAUACGGUAAUUAGAUCAAUCCUAACACUUCAUAUGCUCCAAAUUAACUAUCGUUUUAGUGAAUUUUUAUUUUAUUUUAUUUUAUAUCAUCUCUCACUUUAGAAUUUUAUUAAUUACUGUUUCUUAAAAUUUGCAUGUAUUGCUAUUAAUGAAAAUAAAAUUAAUGGCACGAGUAUUUUGAUCAUACUAUACAUUUUCCCUUGAAAUCCACGCACGUUCAUUAAUUUUCUUAAUACAUACGCAACGAUAAAAAACGAUACUUAGUUUUAAACUAAUGAACCAAAUUUUCUACAAUCGAAGUUGAAGAUAAUGUAGAAGUUAUAAAGUGAAGUGACGUACGUCUAUUAUUAAACUAAUGAACCGAAUUUUUCAUAUCAUUAAUCAUCUCUUGUUUGGUUGGUUGUGAAUUUUUUUACCAAAUUACCCCACCAAUCGAUUGUCCUAAUGAACUAUAGUAAUUGGCUACCAAAAAAAUUACACCGUAUCCGUACUGAAAUAUUUUGGUAGGAUGAUAGUACCAAUAUUACUACUACUAAGGUAUUGUUAUACCAGACCGAAAUAUUAUAAAUGAAUAAAAAUUUAUAUUUCUCAAAUUAAUUUAUUUUAUAUGAAGAGAGAAAAUUAUGUGAAGUAACUGAUGGGCCAAUAUAUAUAUAUAUAUAUAUAUAUAUAUAUAUAUAUAUAUAUAUAUAUAUAUAUAUAUAUAUAUAGUCAAAAUAAAUUGUAAUUUUUAAGUGUCUAAAAUAUUUUGUACUUACUCAUUAGUGAUGAUAUAGUUGAUGUCAAUAGUUUUUAUGUUACAACUCUAUAAUAUAAAUUUGUUAUAUUUAUAUAAAUUAAUGACAUAUAUUAAGAUUCUAUGUACUUUAAAUACUAGUUUCGAGCGUCUUAAACAUAUCUAUGCGUUGAAUUAUUUCAAAUUCGAUAUCAACAAAAUAAAUAACUCAUACGACCCCGUAAAAGGUUCAAAGUUCAAUUAAUUAUAACUAAUCUUAAUUAAUUAUAACUAAUCUUAUCAACCAAACGAGAGACGUAAAUAAUAUAAAAUUCCGUAUAGAGUCUAGAUGACAUUAUUAUUUAAAUAAAAGUGGAAAUAAAAGUUAUGUUGCAACAUCAUUUUCCCAAAAAAGGAAAAAUAAUAAAGGAACCUAGAAAAUUAAAUUGUUUUCCCCUUUUUCUCCGCAUACGGUUGGCUGGCUUAAAAACCUUUUUUUUUUAAAGUCGGGAAAUUAGAAAUCAACGACACAUGAAUCAUGGAACUACAGAUAGCAAUUGACAGUGACCCGACCCGCACCCGCCCAACAUUCAGAUCCACCAACAGUCCACACUUCCUCUUUCUCUCUCAUCCCGCGCACAGAGAGAGAGAGAGAGAGUUACAUAUAUAAACAUAUAAUAUAAUACAACAACCAUCUCCACUGUGUAUUUGAAGCAUCUCUUCACCGUUUCUCUCAGUCGCAGCUCUACUCUGCAUUUUCUUCUCCAGUAAUCCGGUAUGAGGUAAAUCCAACUGUAUUUUUCAAUAUUGUUACAAUAUUUGCUCAAUAAAAUGCCUAAUUACGAUUUUGCAGCUUGUUCGUAAUUUAUUUAUCAGAUUCCGGUUCACACAAUGCCUAGUUUUAUUUUGUUUGGCCUUACACAGUUCGAUUUUUCAUGGCUUCUCGUGAGCUCUAGCUUUGAUACUUGUGUUGUUUGUUGUGCAGUAAAUGUGUAGAUGAAUCAGAAUCUGUAUCUAUUUCUGUGUGUGUGUCUGUUUUUUUUUAGCGGCUGCUAUUAAUUUUUUCAUGAGGAUUUUGCGUGAUGCUAUUGUAUGGGCCUUCAUUUUGCUCCCAUACAUUGUAGAUGGUGUAGAUCAGUGGCUAAGUUUUUCUAGGGUGAAAUUGUGUACAUGUUAUACCACCACUGCUGAAAAAUCGAUUGUGAUGUUGAACAGAUUUUCUGGCGAUUUUUAAAUCGAUUUGAGCUGGAAGCUACGGGAAAACACGCAAUGGAUCAGAAAUCGUGGCUUUGGAAGAAAAGAUCUACCGAGAAGACCUUAGUUGCUGAUAAAGCAAGCAAUUCUUUGAGCAAACACGAAGAAGAUGAAGACGAAGAAGAGGAAGAAUUAAAUGAGGUCUGGUUAUUAAUUGCUUGUUGUAUGUCUUGUGAUAUGAUUUUGCUUUAGUGUUGUGUGACGUUUUUUUUUUUUUUUUUUACUUCAGGUACAGAAGCUUCUGAUUGAGAAAACAGAUCUAGAAACAAAUCUUCGAAUAUCGAAUGAAAAGCUUUCGUCUGCCCUUUCCGAGUGUAAUGCAAAGGAUAAUAUUGCGAAAAAGCAGGUGAAAAUUGCAGAGGAAGCUAUUGCAGGUGAUAUACUGUUCGACGUUGUUGCAUUGACUUCUUUUUUAUAUAUUGCAUUGAGUAAAUCUCGAUUUUUGUAUUUGCAUAUAUAGGUUGGGAGAAGGCGGAGAUUGAGGCAAUAUCUUUGAAACAAGAACUCGAUAAGGUUUUACAACAGAAAGCUACUUCCGACGAAAGAAUAGGCCACUUGGAUGCCGCGUUGAAGGAAUGUAUGCUGCAGUUGCGUUUCGUACAGAAAGAGCAGGAUAAGCGAGUUCAUAGUGCAAUGGUGAAAAGAUCGGAUGAGUUUGAGAAAAUAACAAUUGCGUUAAAUGAAAAGUUAGCAGACUCGGGUAAGAGGCUCGCGAAAUUAGAUGCUGAGAAUACUCAGUUAAGUAAAGCUCUAUCAGGAAAGGAGAAGGUGAUUGAGGAUUUAAGCAAGUACAGAACUCAAAUCGAGGCUGAUUUUAGUGCUCUUAUGUCGAGAGUAGAAUCCACCGAAAAGGAAAACGCUUCUCUGAAAUACGAGCUUCGUGUUCUUGAGAAGGAGCUUCACAUUCGGAAUGAAGAAAGAGAAUAUACUCGCCGAAUGGCCGAUUCUGCCCAAAGAGCGAAAUUGGAAACGAGUGUCGAACCGUGUAAAUACUUACAUUUCUUGCAAGAGCACUCUUUGCUAUCUGCUUCGUCUGAUGUGGGCAGCGAAGAUAAAGCCAGCUGCUCCGAGUCUUUGGCUUCUCACAGAAACAUGGGAGCUUCAGACAUGAGUCUUAUGUAUGACUUUGCUGAGAUGGAAAAGUUAGCAGUAGUUUCUCUUUCUGCAGAUAAUAAUAUCCCAAUUCCGGAGAAGAGUGGACAGAAAUUCUCGUCGAAUUCCAGCUCAGCAAUACGUAAAGUUAUUGAGCUUGUCGAAGGAAUAAAUAUACCAUCUCAAGACAGUGAUAUUGAUAAGCUUUUAUCGACUAAGAAUUCAGAGAAAAACCCAACGGGCUAUGUGGUUCGAGUUUUCCAAUGGAAAAGUGACGAGCUUUCUGCCACCUUGCAAAGAUUCGUUCGAACUUGCAAUGAUUUGUUGAAUGGAAAGGGUGAUUUUGAACAGUUUGUUGUCGAAGUAGCUUCCAAUUUGGAAUGGGUUGUGAAUCACUGCUUCUCCAUGCAGGAUGUUUCGUGCAUGAAAGAUGCAAUAAGGAACCGUUUGGAUUGGGAUGAAUCGGGAAGUGAGAGUGAGGUAGAUAGUGGAUCGGCUGAUAACUCUGUAGAGAAUAAUACAAGCCAACGAGAUAUAAUUGAGGAUCUUAACUCAGAGAUGGAAACCGUGAAGCAAUUCGAGGGCAAAAAUGGAAACCGUGUCGAAAAGGAAAAAACGACGAAAGGAGAGCUCGAGAAUCAGUUUAUGGACUCUAAUCAUGAACAGGGAAAAUCUUACGAUAAUGUUUUGUAUUUAGAACAUGAUCUGGAAAAUAAAGAUAACUCUUGUGAAAGACUGGAAGAAACUUGCUACGACUUAAAUAAGCAGCUCAAAAGGUACAUUUUCGAUUUCUUUUUUAAUUUCUUUGCAUUUCGAAUCUUUCAAUUUUCUAACUUUGUGAUUUCUGUAUGACCAGCGAGGAAGUUCUCGAUAACGGAAGCCAGUGGGAAAAGCAACUCCAAAAUGUAAGUUUGCAUCGUUCAAGUUUCAUUCAGAACGGCGUAAUCUCCGACAAACUUACUCAACAAGAUAUAAGCAAAAAUGGCAGGAAAAACGAAAAUCAUUCAGUUUCGUACUAAAAAGAUUUUUUAGGUUGUCAUUAUUACUAAAUUAGUAAACUGAAUUCCGUGUAAAUGGGACUCUUCGAUUCUAUGUCUCAUGCUUCACAUUGAAAUCAAGACAAAAAUUGAGAUAUUCAUCUUACUAAUAUAUAUAUAUAUAUAUAUAUAUAUAUAUAUAUAUGUAUACAUGUAUAACUAAAUUGUGCACUAAAAACACAUCUUAUGAAAUCGAUAUUUCUUAUAUAGGAUUGGGAGAUAACAGUAGCUUCAGAAAAACUGGCCGAGUGCCAAGAAACGAUCCUGAAUCUCGGGAAGCAAUUGAAGGCAUUGGCUUCACCUAGCGACGCAGCUCUCUUCGAGAAAGUCAUAAAUACCCCUGAUGCUGACUCCGUUAUUACCACCGCUUCAACUCCUCAGAAAAAAAUUAGCCAUCGAUCUUCUUCCCUACUGGAUAAAAUGCUAGCAGAUGAUAAUAAUAACAAUCAGCUAUUUCAUGCUUCUCCCGAAACCGAGAAAGAUAUUCAAAAUGCAAAUGACGAAAAGUUCACUAACAAAAGUAAAACGGGAGCUGCUGCUGCUGCUUCUAUGGACAUUGUUGUCCCUUGUAAGAGAAAUCGAGGCGGGAGUUUCUUCAAGAAGUUGUUUUGGCGGAGGAAGAAGGGUAAGAGCGGUAAGACAUUGUCUUCGUAAGUUGUUAUUUGACUUUUUACGAUAAUGUUUUGAUCCUAGAAUUGGUCGAUGAUUCAAUUAUAUAUGAUGUUCCUGUUUUUGCCUAGUAUGUGAAAUGGAGUUCUUAUUUUUAUUUUUAUUUUUAUUUUUUGUUUUGGCUUUCUUGUCCAUAUAUAUAGAGAGAGAUAGAUGCAGGAUUUGUGUGUAUCUUGGCUUGCUGUAAAUGCAACAAUGAACAAAAGAAAAAAAGUUUUAUUUCUUUUUGAUGUUCCAUAUUUCACUAAAUUUGCCGCCAGAAAUAUAUUUCUCUGUAACAUCAAAUAUUAUAAAGUCAAUUAUAAAUAAAUAAGUUCAUGUAAUUUGGAGUGAAAAUGUUCGUAUGGGAUUAUAUUUUAUUUAAUUAUGUAUAAUUUAUUCUUUAUGAUAGUUCUUUAUUUUUUUUUAAAAUAUUUAUAUUAAUAGUUUGAUUGCUACCAUUAUGUUAGAUUGAGUAAAUAGUAGAAGUUAAUAAGAUGUUUCGUUAGUAAGAGUCAACAUUACUCAAUCACGCUACUACAGUUGAAGUCAGCAAUUAAAUAUGGCUGCAGAUAUUUGCAAGACGAAAAUUACUAAGUGCAAGACCUUACUUCAUGCAAGACCAAAAUAUAAAUAAAUUUACUAAGAUCAAGACUGGAAAUUACAAAUAUAACCCCAAUAAUAAUUUAGAUAUUAUUAAUUUAAAUUAAGUUAAUUGCUAUUGCAAGACCAAAAAAAAAAUACAAAAAAAAAGAAUAAAAAAAAAAAGAAAAAAGAGAGGGAACUCACUCACCCAACAAAACACCAACAUCUUCUUCUUCACCCUCAUUUUACACAUUUUUUUCCACAAAAAAAUCUUCCAUAUUCUCCAAAACCCUUAUCACAUAAAACCCUCAAAUCUUACUAAAACUUGAAAAGAAGGACAUUAUGGAUACACAAGACAUAAAUAUGGAGGAUUCUAAGGUCGAAGAACACAAAGAGGUAAGAAAUAUUGUACUUUGUGAUCGUUUUUCUCGUUUUUCGCACCUCAUUUCACGUACAAAAAAAUCGACAUGUACAGGUCGAAAUAUCAGCUUUAUAUCGACACUGCAGUGUCGAAAAUGUCAAAAUAAUUCGACACUCAUUAACUGUCGAAUUAUAUUGAAAUUAUCGACAUUCUGGUGUCGAUAUUAAGCGGAUAUUUCGACGCUAGUGUGUCGAAUUAUCACUGUUACAAUUGUGUGUCGAUAAUUUUCCAAAAAAACGACAAGUACAUGUCGAUUUUUGUAAAACCGCAACUCCUUCAACAAUAGUGCUACAAUCGAACCCUAGAAUCAUCAACUAUGUUCUAAAACGACUUGAAUUCAUUAUUCUAACAAUAAAAUCAUGUUUAUCACAUUUAUUUCUCAAAAAAAAGUUAAUUCAAAAAGUAAUUUUUACUUGUUUUUCGUGAGAUUGUUGCGGCGGGGUUGGGACAACAACGGAGUUCAACGGCGACGGGCGACGGCGGUGGACUUCAACGACGACGGCGACGACGACGGGGCGACGACGACGGGGCGGCGGGCGAUGGGGCGACGAACGGUUUUUUGCUGCAAUUGAUUAUUUUUGUUUUCUUCAAUCUUCCCUCCUCGUUUUGAUUUUGUCAAUUCAAUUUCCUUUUUCUUUUUGUUUUAUUAAUUUUUUUUUAAAUUGGUCUUGCAAAAGAAAAUUAAUAAAAUAAUUUUUUUUUGUUUGUAUUUUAUUAAGGUUAUUAUAGUCUUUUUAUACUGAAUUUAAUAAAAAAAAUUAAAUUGGUCUUGCACUAAGUAAAUUUCGUCUUGCAAAUAGUCGCUGCCAUUAAAUAUUACUACAUUAUGAAAUUAGUAAUAUUCCUCUCCAUGCGAUCAAUUUUGUAGGAAUGACUAAAACAUAAAAUUACAAUUAUCCUUAAAACAAUAACUUAAUUUUAUUGGAUAAAAGGCUUUAUAGAUAAUUCACAUAUAAUAAUAGAAUCUGACAAAUUUACAAAACAUAUAAUCUAAAGAACAUAUUAUUAACUAGUUAAUCACUAGGAAAUUAAUUCAAUUCAGUCUAAUUUGGUCUAAUCCGAUAUAGGUAAACAAACGAAGCCUAGUUGUCACAUAAAAAUUCGGUAUGCGAGUCUAGUGUUUAUUUUGUUUUUACUAUAUUUUGGUUAUUAAUUAAAAAGUUAAUAGUAAUUUCGAAAAUACAAAUUACAAUUUUUUUUGAUAAAGAAUUUAGUUUUACACACACUAAAUAUAAAACCCUAACCCCAAGAAUUUUCCCCACCCCGCCAUUCUCCCCUCUCCCACACUCCCUUCUUUUUCUCUCAAACACGGCCACCGCGAAACUUAACCGUGAAUCGUUUCUCCGCCAGCCCCCUCGCCGGUAUCUAUUCUCCGAGGGGAGUAAACCCUAGAACCAUAGUACUUGAUAACAGUAGAAUAAUUAAAAAAACACACACACACACACACACACAGUGAUGGCGUCGCCAUACGGAAUUCAACUCGCAGUCCAUAUAAUUUCGGCCUUCUACGGUGACCUAUGCUCGGUAAAUUCAUCCUUUACGCCGCUUCUCCGGCCACCAGUUUCAUUACUCUCUCUCUCUCUCGUUCUGUAUUUUAACUGUCGUUUUUUUUCUCUCUCAUCCCCAAAUUGAUUUGAAAUUGCAGAAAGUAUGCGAGUGUUUAAUCCGGAGAGGAACACAAUCCCUAGCUCAAAUAAUCCGAUUCACGGAUCUCAAUCGAGAAAAUGCCAUCAAUUGCUUACGCGUUUUAAUACACCAAAACUGCGUCCAAGCAUUCACCAUCCAGCAAGACGGUAAUUCAUUAUGCAUAAACUUGAUUAAUUUUAUUUUAAUUGGAGUCAUCUUAUUACUUCUUCUAGUCUAGGUAUGCUGUUUUGCUAUAUUUUGUUCUUUGCAAGACAUUGAUUUAUUUAUCCUUCUAAAUUGUAUUAUGAAAAAAAAAAAGAUUUUUUGACGAUGAUUAUUGGAAAAUUGUUCAUCAGAAAGUUUAUCCAAACCAAACAGACCUUACAAUUUGUUAGUGUUUUUACGGUAAUAUUUAUUCGGAUUCUGUAGCUGUUUUCGGCGAGCCACCAAGGAUGGUAACCCAAUACAUGGCUCUAUUUGAUAACGUAAUACACAAGUUGAGGGCUCCUAAAUUUUACGAAAUUGUAUCAGAGGAACUUGGCAAAGAUGUGAGGAGUUUUUUUCCUUUCUCCUCUUUAAAAUUUCAUGCACUUAGAUAUUUGAUGAUGAAGUUGAUUUCCUGAUCAAUUAAUUGGUUCGUUUUUGUUUAGUGUCUAGUAAUAUUUCAGGGGUUAGUUCAACACGGCAGGCUUUCGGUUAAUGAUAUGAUUGCUGGUUAUGCAGAUAUAGAAGGUAUUAUUAAUGAUUUGCUGUCUAUUUUACUUGAAAUUUAAUUAUGCUUUAGCUUGUGUAAACCUGCACCACAUUUCUUCAAGAUAAUGCAGUAUUACAGUUUCGUAAGGAUUACUUAAACAUUAUUGUGAAUAUUAAUGAUUGCUAUGCACACUUCUAGUGAAGAUGGCUGUUAGUGAUUACUGCCUAAGGAUAUCAGAAGCUGAAUUAAAACUUGUAUACACAUUCUUUUUAAUUUUCACAAAAUUUACAUUUGAGACCUCUAUUAAAAAACUCCAAAUUCAGAUCUGAAAUCUUGAUACAACUAGCCAGGCAUGUUUAAACAAUUUGUAACGGUAGAUAAAAUUAUUUGUUGUUUGUUAAAGAUUUUUUUUUUUCUAAUUAAAUUAAGUUUAAGGAUGAAGUUGGACAUUGUCUUAUUUGAAGAAUUAUUUUAGACCACAUUGUGAUAGUUGCCAUAACAUCCUACUUGCCCCGUUGAGGGAUAUUAGUACCUUGCUAUGAAUCUGACAACUCUAAAUCCAGUAUUUUCUACUGUGUUUUUUUUCUCGUGCAGGUAGUUCUGAAAAUGUUGGGCGAGAAAGCUUCACUAAACUUGUGAAUGCCCGAUUUGUUGAACACUGUCCAGCUCCUGACCCACAUCUAGAACCACCUGUUGUUGAUGAAAAGGGAAAGAAGAAAAAGACACAGGUAGUUUUUACCUUCUUAUUGUACAUUUAUAUACUAGUAUGUAAAUUUUGCCACUUCUUUUUUCCCCAAUUGUUGAUGCUUUUAACACUUAGAAUCUAUUUGUUUCGAGAUGAAGUACUGAGAACUGAAAAUCAGUUAUGCAAAUCUUUUAUAUUGGGAGCUUAGAGAAGAAAAAGGAACAGAAUACUCAAAGAAUUUACCUCAUUUUCAUGUAUUUUAUACAGUUUUUUUUCAUUCACCACAUAUUUAACAGUAAUGUGAUCGUGCCCUGCUAGUUUUUUUCGCUAAGCAACAUAGUAUUAGGCAACUCGUGUAUUGGGUAAAUCCUUCACUUAUAAAUCUGUUGGUCGAGCAGUAAUAUAGGACUUUUGAGAGGUUGCUCUGUUUCGAUUUCUCCUAUAUUUAUGGUAAUAGCCAAUAGGAUCUUUGAGCAGUACUGGACCUUUAUGAGGUAGCUUCACAUAUUUGUAUUCUCUAUAACUUUAAUGCGCUCUUUUGAACUUCUUGUUUGUGUCAUUAUCUUUCUAUUCCCCCCAACUAACAGGUAGAAGAACCACCACUAGAUCAACGUGUUUUGGCAGCAGCUGCUCCAAUGGAGUCGAUGAGAUUCUUUCUCGAAAUGGACGAUCACUCUGAAGAGAAGGGUAAUGAAACUACUACUAGCGUGAGAAGCGGGCAGAAGGUUCGGAUGGUUGUUUUAUGAAGUCUCCUUUAAUAUUAUAUAUGAGUUUGUUGAUAUUUUAUUGUUUUGGAUUAAAUAGCGGAAGCAAGAUGAAGGCGAAUUGGAUGCUGAUAAAAAGAAGGAAGUUCUUUGGCGUGUCAACGUGGAAGAAUUUUUGCGCCGCCUGCGGCAUAAGGUUUGUUGUGAUAAGUAUUUGAGUAAUUCCUUUGGUCAACCUCGUUUGAAUGUAUCGUAUUUGAUUAUUUAUUGAUAUACUGUAUUUGAUGUUUCUUUUUCUUGGGACCUGUUAUAGGCUUGUAUCGCACAUGUCAAAUCGAAGAUUAACGAAGAAGCUGCCAUUGUGCUGAGUGCAAUGUUGGAGUUAAGUAAACAAUCAGAGAGUGGACUGAAAGCUGAAAAAUCUGGUAUUGACUCUUUUUUUAAUACCUAAAUUCAAUUUGAGGUCACAUUUUAUACAUCUCCAUUCACUGUAUAUAAGUUCUCUGAAUUGAAGGGCGUGGUACAUUGAUUAUGUAGUUUAUGAGAAAAGUUAAGGAUGCCUGGUAAUGAUAAAUUAAGUACAAUAUAGAUAUUCAAUAGCCAAAUAACUGAAGAUAAGCAAAAAUAUUACUCUUGGAGGUCCGUUUGUCAAUGUCGAAUUUAAAAUCCUUUUUGUUCUUCCUAACAAUCAACUUUCAUGGCACUUUUCAUCACUCGUGUGACUUACGAUGUAUUUUUUUUUGCAGAAUAUCUUUCCAUAAAUGCUAUAUACGAUGAGGUGAUAAAAAAAGAGGGUGGUCUUGGCAUGGACUUUGAACGUGUCAGAUCUUUGCUCGACCAGCUUGGUUGUGAAACACUCUCCACAGGAAUGGAUGAAAGUUACUGCAUCGGUACAAAUUCUCUUCAUUCUAAUAUUUCAAUUCAAUGGUCAAAUGUUAUUUAUUAAUCCAAAAUCCGAAAAUUUGUUGUAUGCAUCGAGUGUCUAAUCCGCACCUUUUUUCACCUUUCCCCGUCUACAGAUAUAAAGGAAAUCAUUGAAUUAUCUCAAAAUGAAGAAGUUAGUAAAUUUUCUUUAAUUCUCAAUUCCCCCCGCCCCCCCGGUUAAGAAGUUUAUGCAUGCAGCAUCUUAUGGUAUUUGAAUCUAGGUGGAGUCUUUGGUAAUGAGAAGAUAUGGGCCGGAGGCCUACAGGAUAUACAGGUUACUUUCCAAAGCUGGUCGUCUUAUGGAAACUGAAAAGGUAAUCGAAACACUGUAAUGAUAUAUUUGUUGCCGUACAUGUUAUAUUUUGUAUUAAAUUAUUUAAAUAUAAAUAAUAGCCACUUAUUUCUGUUCGAAUAUUCCGGUAUACUUUUAAUUUCAUAGAGCCUAAACAUAUAACUUUGAACAGUUAUCAUCUGGUGCCGAUAACGACUUGUAAUAAGAAAUUUUGGCUUAGAAGUGAAAUAUUUACGGAAGGGCCUUUUUUUUUUGUUUUUUGGGGAGAAAAGAAGUUCAUCUAUUUAAGUUUUGUUAUUUGCAGAGUCCCUGAUACACCUUUGUGUAUGUUAUGAGUAUAUUUCGAUUAACUUUAUCUUUAAGUAUGUGUGUGUGCACAUUUGGGAUCGGAGACUUCAAUUUAUUUAUUCUCGUACAGAUUUCAGACAGUACAUUCGUUGAAAAGAAAGCUACAAUCGCGAUUCUGUACAAGCUUUGGAAAGAUGACUUCUUGCAAAUGGAGGUAAAUAGAACCCGAACAUCUAUAUUCGUUUGGGCUUUUAAGCACAUAUCGAAGUAUUGGUUAGGAACUCAUUCUCAUUAAGCGAAAGAACUCGGAUUAAAAAAAAAAAAUUUAUUGCAGCAUGUGAAGACGAGUACAGCAAAACAGUCGGACUUUCGGCUAUGGACAAUAAACAAAGAGCAGCUUCAGAAACAAGUUUUAAAUGAAAUGUACCACGCCGCUCUAAAUUUGAAACUCAGAAUCGCACAUGAGAAAGAUCAAGCGAAAGAGGUAAUUUUAAGAAAGUGUAGAAAAUCAAAUUUCAGUGAUAGAAUUUUCGAUUAUGAUUUUGAGUUUUUUUUUUUAAAUAAACCUUUUCAUCUUGUUAUUCCUCAGGUUAUUAAAUUGCCUAAAGACAAGCUCGUUGGGGAAUCGAAUACUAAAUAUGUUCGUUGGGCCAAUGUCACGAGGAUUUUGGAAUCUUGCUUGAUGGAUUUAGACGAUGCAAUCAUGUUAUUUCAUCAUUUCUAAAUACUAUAAUUAUUAUUAUUAUUAUUAUCCCAUUUUUGAGAUUACUUUUCUAUUUUGUUCAUUGCACAAGUUUUGACUUAAGUAGAAGUUCUCGACUAAACAAUAGCUCGUGUUUUAAUGCAGCAUUNNNNNNNNNNNNNNNNNNNNNNNNNNNNNNNNNNNNNNNNNNNNNNNNNNNNNNNNNNNNNNNNNNNNNNNNNNNNNNNNNNNNNNNNNNNNNNNNNNNNNNNNNNNNNNNNNNNNNNNNNNNNNNNNNNNNNNNNNNNNNNNNNNNNNNNNNNNNNNNNNNNNNNNNNNNNNNNNNNNNNNNNNNNNNNNNNNNNNNNNNNNNNNNNNNNNNNNNNNNNNNNNNNNNNNNNNNNNNNNNNNNNNNNNNNNNNNNNNNNNNNNNNNNNNNNNNNNNNNNNNNNNNNNNNNNNNNNNNNNNNNNNNNNNNNNNNNNNNNNNNNNNNNNNNNNNNNNNNNNNNNNNNNNNNNNNNNNNNNNNNNNNNNNNNNNNNNNNNNNNNNNNNNNNNNNNNNNNNNNNNNNNNNNNNNNNNNNNNNNNNNNNNNNNNNNNNNNNNNNNNNNNNNNNNNNNNNNNNNNNNNNNNNNNNNNNNNNNNNNNNNNNNNNNNNNNNNNNNNNNNNNNNNNNNNNNNNNNNNNNNNNNNNNNNNNNNNNNNNNNNNNNNNNNNNNNNNNNNNNNNNNNNNNNNNNNNNNNNNNNNNNNNNNNNNNNNNNNNNNNNNNNNNNNNNNNNNNNNNNNNNNNNNNNNNNNNNNNNNNNNNNNNNNNNNNNNNNNNNNNNNNNNNNNNNNNNNNNNNNNNNNNNNNNNNNNNNNNNNNNNNNNNNNNNNNNNNNNNNNNNNNNNNNNNNNNNNNNNNNNNNNNNNNNNNNNNNNNNNNNNNNNNNNNNNNNNNNNNNNNNNNNNNNNNNNNNNNNNNNNNNNNNNNNNNNNNNNNNNNNNNNNNNNNNNNNNNNNNNNNNNNNNNNNNNNNNNNNNNNNNNNNNNNNNNNNNNNNNNNNNNNNNNNNNNNNNNNNNNNNNNNNNNNNNNNNNNNNNNNNNNNNNNNNNNNNNNNNNNNNNNNNNNNNNNNNNNNNNNNNNNNNNNNNNNNNNNNNNNNNNNNNNNNNNNNNNNNNNNNNNNNNNNNNNNNNNNNNNNNNNNNNNNNNNNNNNNNNNNNNNNNNNNNNNNNNNNNNNNNNNNNNNNNNNNNNNNNNNNNNNNNNNNNNNNNNNNNNNNNNNNNNNNNNNNNNNNNNNNNNNNNNNNNNNNNNNNNNNNNNNNNNNNNNNNNNNNNNNNNNNNNNNNNNNNNNNNNNNNNNNNNNNNNNNNNNNNNNNNNNNNNNNNNNNNNNNNNNNNNNNNNNNNNNNNNNNNNNNNNNNNNNNNNNNNNNNNNNNNNNNNNNNNNNNNNNNNNNNNNNNNNNNNNNNNNNNNNNNNNNNNNNNNNNNNNNNNNNNNNNNNNNNNNNNNNNNNNNNNNNNNNNNNNNNNNNNNNNNNNNNNNNNNNNNNNNNNNNNNNNNNNNNNNNNNNNNNNNNNNNNNNNNNNNNNNNNNNNNNNNNNNNNNNNNNNNNNNNNNNNNNNNNNNNNNNNNNNNNNNNNNNNNNNNNNNNNNNNNNNNNNNNNNNNNNNNNNNNNNNNNNNNNNNNNNNNNNNNNNNNNNNNNNNNNNNNNNNNNNNNNNNNNNNNNNNNNNNNNNNNNNNNNNNNNNNNNNNNNNNNNNNNNNNNNNNNNNNNNNNNNNNNNNNNNNNNNNNNNNNNNNNNNNNNNNNNNNNNNNNNNNNNNNNNNNNNNNNNNNNNNNNNNNNNNNNNNNNNNNNNNNNNNNNNNNNNNNNNNNNNNNNNNNNNNNNNNNNNNNNNNNNNNNNNNNNNNNNNNNNNNNNNNNNNNNNNNNNNNNNNNNNNNNNNNNNNNNNNNNNNNNNNNNNNNNNNNNNNNNNNNNNNNNNNNNNNNNNNNNNNNNNNNNNNNNNNNNNNNNNNNNNNNNNNNNNNNNNNNNNNNNNNNNNNNNNNNNNNNNNNNNNNNNNNNNNNNNNNNNNNNNNNNNNNNNNNNNNNNNNNNNNNNNNNNNNNNNNNNNNNNNNNNNNNNNNNNNNNNNNNNNNNNNNNNNNNNNNNNNNNNNNNNNNNNNNNNNNNNNNNNNNNNNNNNNNNNNNNNNNNNNNNNNNNNNNNNNNNNNNNNNNNNNNNNNNNNNNNNNNNNNNNNNNNNNNNNNNNNNNNNNNNNNNNNNNNNNNNNNNNNNNNNNNNNNNNNNNNNNNNNNNNNNNNNNNNNNNNNNNNNNNNNNNNNNNNNNNNNNNNNNNNNNNNNNNNNNNNNNNNNNNNNNNNNNNNNNNNNNNNNNNNNNNNNNNNNNNNNNNNNNNNNNNNNNNNNNNNNNNNNNNNNNNNNNNNNNNNNNNNNNNNNNNNNNNNNNNNNNNNNNNNNNNNNNNNNNNNNNNNNNNNNNNNNNNNNNNNNNNNNNNNNNNNNNNNNNNNNNNNNNNNNNNNNNNNNNNNNNNNNNNNNNNNNNNNNNNNNNNNNNNNNNNNNNNNNNNNNNNNNNNNNNNNNNNNNNNNNNNNNNNNNNNNNNNNNNNNNNNNNNNNNNNNNNNNNNCUAGAGAUCCCUAAGCUCCACAAUUGUAAAUACUUCUUACAGUUAACUUUGGAGUUAUCAAUUUCUGUUAAUCCAAUUAAUUAUUAUUGUGUUACAUUCGCGAGUUACUCAUGUAAUUGUUUCCGGUAAAACUUGUUGUACUUGCUUCCGCCGUGUUUAAACCAACGGGUAAUGGAUAUCAAUCAUGAUAAGAAAACCUGUACAAAUUACUUCAAGAAAUUAUAUUUUUGUUCCAUGCCUGCAUAGAUGUGGUGAUAAGUUGGUACAAGAAGUUAUAUUGUUUGAUUUUUUUUUCCCCAAAAUUGAAGAAAGUUGGAACUUUAGUAAUCUUUAUAUAUAAAAGAAAGGUUUGCCCAAAACCCUAAAAGUAGUUUUUUAUAGAACACGUUUCGGGUUUUUUUUUAAUUAUUUUCUUUUUCUUUCUUUCUUCUUCCUUUUUUCCCCUUCCCCAUUAAACACGGUCAAUUUUUUUUUUAAAUAUUUUUAUUAUUAAAUAUUUUUUUUUCUUUUUUUUCUUCUUUUUUUUUCUUCCAACACUAAAUUUUCUCUCUUUUUUUAUAGGACACGUUUUUUAAAUUAUUUUAUUUUUCUUUUUCUAGUUUUUUUUCCAUUCUCCACUAAACACGAUCAAAUUUGAAUUUUUUUUAUACGUUUGUUUUUUCUUUUUAAUUAUUUUCUUUUUUUUUUUCUUCCCUACCAACACUAACUUCUCUCUCCCUUUUUAUAGCUACGUAUGCGUAUUAAGUUUUAUUGUAAAAUAGAUAUAUAGAUUAUGAUUGCAAUUAGUGAAAUUUUUACAUUUUCGGUGUUCCAUUGUUUUGCUAUUGUACAUUUCAUAUAUGUUUACUAAUUUCUAAUUUUGCUUAUUUUAUAUUUUUUUUCAAAAUCCGCCCAUGCAACGCACGAGACAAAAUACUAGUUUAAUUAAAAGCUACCCGGACGGACAAAUUGAAGUUGUCACCCCUACUACCAAAACUUCAGUUUUAUGCGAUUGAGAUGAUUUUUGACUAACCUUAGAAGCUGUUAAAAAGAGCUUAUAAGAUGUUUAAAAGCGUAUAAGCUCUUUCAAAGUGUUUCGUAAAAAUUCUAAAAACAAUUUAGCUAGUAGUGAGCGAAUAAGAUUUUUUUUUAAAGUACAUUUACCCGACCAUUUUAUGUAAAAUCUUAUAAUGAGCAAAAAAUAUCUUUUAUCCGAUCUUUUUAUUUAAGAUUUUAUAAUGAGAAAAAAUAGUUUACAAGAUCAUUCUCGAAACACUUUAAAAAUUAGUAAUUAUAAAAAUAAAACUAACAACUUAUCCACUCUAAAAAUAGCUUAUGGUAUAGAAGAGCUUAUCAGUUUUAAAAUAAAUAAGCCAAACAAGCCUAGUCAAGUAAGUUAGAACACCUAUUGGAUUUUUACCAUUAAGAAAAAAUCAAUUGGACUUCCACACAAAAACAAUCAAUUUUCCAUCAUUAGACAUUCAUGCCUUUGACAAAAAGUUGUGUUACUUUCGUGCGUAAUAUUAUAACAAAUAGGAUAAAUUACAAUCACCUCCAUAGAUAAGCUUUAUUUACAAAGAAACCCCUAAAUUUUGAAAAAUUACAUCAAACCCUGUAUCGCUUGAAAAUUUCUUAUAUCCAUCCUUUAAAAUGUGUGUUAAUGUAAGAAAUCUACAAAUUACAGGGGUUGAUGCAAUUAUGAGAAAAUGAAGAAUUUUUCAUAAAUAGAUCUUAAAUCAGGGGACGGUUGUAAUUUACCGUGGGCUGAAUUAAUUCAUAAAUUUCACAAUUUGUUCCAAUUAAGACAAUGUUUAGUCCAAAACAGUCCAAUAAAAAACGAGUAAUAGAGGAGACAAAUUUAAUUAAUAAUUAAUUACAGUACCAACUGGCAAUCUGGCACUACUUAGAAAACUGUCUCUCUGCUCCUAAUUUAAUUCCCAUCACACGCAACCUUCACAAAAAUACCCACAAAUAUACAAAUUAAUACUAUUAAAUUAAUAAAUUAAAUAAAUAAAUAAUAAAUAAAGAAAUAAAAGAAACAGAAAUAUGAACGUGCUGUGUUUCCUUGGACUUUCUACACUCCUCCAGCAAAGAAUCAAAUCCUCCAUUGCUGAGAUCUGUUACCACUACUUUCUCUCUCUAAAACUUCCUCUCUUUCUCUCUCUCUCUCUCUCUCUAAAACUUCUCUUUCUUUCUAUACACACAUAAAUACAUACACACACACACACACAUAUAUAUAUAUAUAGAUAGAUAUAUAUAUAUCAAUCUGAUUCUGCAUUCAAUUUUUCGAAAUCGAAAUUCGAAGCAGACAAAUUGAAAAAAAUAAAAAUGGCGACGCAUCACUCGAAGACCGAUUCGGAGGUGACGAGCCUGGCGCCGUCGUCGCCGAACCGGGCGGUGUACUACGUGCAGAGUCCGUCGAGGGACUCUCACGACGGCGAGAAGACGACGAACUCGUUCCACUCGACGCCGGUACUCAGCCCCAUGGGCUCACCGGGCCGCCACUCGCGCGACUCGUCCUCGACUCGGUACUCCGGUUCGCUGAAACCCGGUUCGCAGAAAUCGAGCAACGGAUCCCGGCGCCACCACCACCACCACCACAACAACAGGAAGGCGGAGAAGCAGUGGAAGGAGUUCGACGCCAUAGAGGAGGAGGGCCUCCUCGACGACGGCGGCGCCCGCCGCGGCUUCCCGCGGCGGUGCUACUUUCCGGCGUUUGUCGUCGGCUUCUUCGUGCUGUUCUCUUUCUUUGCUCUGAUCCUGUGGGGCGCCAGUAAAAAUCAGAAGCCUGUCGUCACCAUGAAGGUACUCAUACAUACAUAUAUACAUAUACAUAUAUUAGGGUAAAUUACGAAAAAUACCCUGAACUUAGGCUAAAUAAUGAAAACACCCCACAUAUUUGUAAUAACCAAAAUACCCCUUUGAUUGACGACUGUUGAUUGAGUUUUUUACCGGAAAAUGUGUACAGAGUCUAUUAUACUAUUCACUGGAAUAAAAGAUAUCCGUGAAAAGUCACAGUAUAAAGGGUUAGUGUAAGACAAAAAACAAACCUCAUGGGGUCUUUGGUAAUUACCUAUAGGUGGAGGCGGUUUUUGUAAUUUAAUCUAAGUUUAGGGAGAUUUUCAUAAUUUACGCAUAUAUGUAUACAUACAUGAUACAUAUAUGCAAUUUUGUGUGAAUCUGUUCUAAUUGAUGGAUUCAUUGCUUGAUCAAUUCAAAAGUUUCUUAAUGUGUCUGCAUAUUUUUUCAUUCAGAUUAAUCUGUGGUAAUUAAUAAUUAGUGGAGACUUAUUUUGCUUAAUUAACAUUAACCAAUUUUUAUUAUUAUUUAAUUAAUUUAUAUAUUUGAAGAUCUUGUUUUGUUAUAUUAAUCAAGUCAACUAAUCACAUAGCGACAUACUCUAUUAUUUAGUGACUGUAGGGGUAAAUGGUAAUUUCACAUGUUUGACUUAUUAAUUUCACAAUUAAUAAACUAUUGUACUACUAGUUCGUAAACAAUGAACAAUUAAAUAAAUAAUAAAUAGAUGUUGGCAAUUUUUAAUUAGCGUUUACCAAGAUCGAUAGCUGUUAAACAAAAGUCAUAGGUAAUAAUAAAUAAUAAUUACAUAAAUAAUUUAUUAUUAUUAAUAUUUAUUUAUUUUUGUGCCAUAUAUUUCAACAAUUUGUCUUAUAUAUAUAUAUAUAUAUAUAUAUAAUAAAAUAUAAUAUAUUGUGCAGAGUAUAUUAUUCGACAGAUUUGUGAUACAAGCAGGCACAGAUUCAUCUGGAGUAGCUACAGUGAUGGUGACUAUGAAUUCAACGGUCAAGAUGUCUUUCCGAAAUAAGGGUACAUUUUUUGGAGUCCACGUCACAUCUUCACCGUUCGAUCUUUCUUUCACCGACCUCACACUAGCCACCGGUUCAGUAAGCAUACCAAUUCAUAAUUUCAUCCUCAUUUCUUCAAUUAUGUUUUUUUUCCCAUACAUAAUUUUGCAAUUUUUCCUUGGGUAAAUUACGACUAACCCCUCUGAGGUUAGAAAAAAUUACGAAAAAAACUUUAUUAUUUGAGUAAUUACAACUUUUCCUUUAACUAUGUAUUUUCUUAUGAAAACACCCCUAAUUCAGUUGGUAAAUUUGACACUCUAGAUGCUGAUGUAUACGAAGUAAUUGUAAUUAUCCAAGCAUAAGAGGUUUUUUCGUAAUUUAACUUUAACUUAGGGUGACAUUUUAUCCAUAGUGUUGUUAUUUUAAGAGUAGAAAACAGUGUAGUAUUGUCGGCCAUUUAGAAAAACUUUAUAGACUUGAUUUUCGGUUGGAAAAAUCUUAUUUGACAAAAUUACCUUCUUAUGGCUUUUCAUUUUGUCUUUAUUACUUCAUUAAUUUGUCAUUAAUAUUAGGAUAAAGUUGGAGGAAGAAAAAUAAUUUGUCCUACACCGAAAUUCUAAAGCGACACUUAAUAUAAGAAAAAUAAAAUUAUAUUUCAAGAGACCUAAAACGGAUAGAGUAACUCAUACUUCAGAUAAUAUUGCACCUCGUAGUGCAAUAUACACCACUUAAUCGAUAGCAAAUCAAAAUACUAGAUUGAGACUCUAAUUUUAAAAUGUGCAGUUAAACCUUUUAUAAAUUAAUUCCGUCCGAAUCAGUAAAAUUCCAUUAAUUUAACAAAAUAUUAAAUUAUCGAACUAAUAAUUUAGCAUUUUUAACCGAGUUUGGACCGAAAAAAAGUAUAAUUGAAACGAUGUUAUUAAUCUAUUGAUGUUCUACUGUAAAUCAAAAUUGUUCAUUUGUGGAUUGAUUGAGUAAUGAAUUAAUUAUUUGCAAUAUUUAUUUUUGCAGGUGGAAAAGUUUUAUACAUCAAGAAAGAGCCAGAAAACCGUGACGGUGGUGUUAAUAGGAGACAACAUCCCACUGUACGGCGGCGGUGCUGACUUGAGCAGCCAAGGUGGGAAACCGGUUAAACCGGUUGCUUUGAAUUUGACUUUAACGGUUCGGGCCAGAGCUUAUAUAAUGGGCCGGUUGGUAAAGCCCAAAUUCCAAAAUGGAGUCCAAUGCUCGGUUGUUUUGGACCCCAAGAAAAUGAAUGAGCUUGUUCCUUUGAACAAUUGCACCUACAAUAAUUAAAAAUUAAUUUUUAUUUCAAAAAAGAAAAGAGAGGGAAAAUGAAAAUAUUUAUUUAUAUGUUGAGCGAUGAGAAGAACGAGGAAGAGGCGAACGGAAGAAAAAUGUUUGGUGGAUCGGAAACGAGGAGGAGAAUUGGGAGAUGAUUCUUCGAAAUUUUUCUUUUAUUACAAUAUUUAUUUUUAAUUUUUUUUUUCUACUUGUGCCUAGUUAAAUGUUGUAAUAAUUUGUGACAAGAGUAGUGUUAUAUGUGAUUCAUCAAUCUUCUUUGCUCAUCUUUGGUAAGCUUUUGGGCUUCCGUUUUUAUUUUAUUUUGGGAAAAGAUGUUUUGAGAGAAGAAUUUGAAAAUAAAAUAAAGUUUGUUUGCGUUUUGAGAGGAGACAAUUUGUAUUGCAGCAAGUCAAAUCAUGUCUUAAAUGUGCUGAAAAAAGUUAUUUUUUAAGAAGAAUUUGAAAGAUAAAGUGAUUUUGAUUUGUAUUUUAAUGAAGACAAUUUUCACUGUAGCAGUCAAAUCAUGUUUGUUAGAGCGAGAAAUAUUUGAAUUGUUUUUGGGAAAUUUUUUCGAAAAUAUUUUAGAAAGAUAAUUUUUAUUUUUGGAAAAUAGUGAAAAGAAUUUGAAAAGCUAACCAAACAUAGGUAUUUUAUAAAGAGAUCUAUUUUUUUUUUUUGAAUAUUAACAUAUUUUUUUACUUUAUAUAUAUAUAUACAUGGUAAAUCAUGCCUUAUUCUAACGGGAUAUUAAUCGCUUAGUCUAAAUGGUAUUCGAACAUCUUCGACAAUGGGAUUUGGUGAGAGGUCGAGGUUUUGAAUGUGUCUGUUGCGCUAUAAGACCACCUCAUAAGACCAAUUUAAAAGUAUAUUUGACGAAAUAUUAUUUCCUAUCUAACUCCGUUUUAUCAAGACAUUGAAAAGCAUAAUGUAAAAACAAACUCACAAUCAAAAUCUUUUUCCAAACAUAGAUAUUCUAAUUUGGCUGAUUAUAGUCAGUUUUCACACCUUCAGGCUUCAACUUGUAAAAAUAUAUAUGAAUCUAUAGACGAUUUCCCAUUUAGACUCAAUUUCCCCUUUUUGUAAUGAAAGAAUUUGCAACAAAGCAUAUAAGUGUACUCGAUGAAUCUCCACUCUCGAUCGCGAGAGAGAUGUAAACUACACUAGGGUAACCAUGUGCGGUGAACUCGACCUAGAAAACAUUGGCUAGAAAAUUCGAACUUAGGUCAAUUGACAUCAUGCUCUCUUGAUCCUUUCGAACUAGGUCAAUCCUUGCCAAUGGGUUCGCUCGUGAGCAUUUGGAAUUCCAUCAUUAGGCAAUCUCCAAGGCGUCGACCUCCUCAGAUAACAUAAUAGAUCCAAUGUACGCGGCUAAGGCAGGUAUCUCGGUAGAUAGCUUUGAUUUACAUCCUACAUUAAGCUAUUGUAAAAUAUAGUCUUAGCCUGGGUUUGGCAGCAAUUGUCCACGUAGUGGAGGUCCGGGUAUGGGCGGUCCACAAUCGAAUGCCGUGGGCGCUUGUGUGUGUUGAAUGCACUAUAAGGCUAGGGUUUGCGUCUUUCCUAACACCAAUUGGAUUUAGGACAACUGGUAGCUGUUGAGUGUAGAUUUUACGCUCAAUACGUUUACUUUACGUGGAUCUUUUGUUGAGAUUUAAUUAUAUUUGUGCUUUAAUUGCUUGAUUUUGUGUUUUGUAGGUGAAAACAAGAAUAAGGUGUCCAUGAAGGAAAAAAGAUCAAAAAGAAAGGAAAAAGUUGCAAAUAAGGAAAUAAAUCAAAUUGGAAGAAGGAAUCUCGCCACAGUUUUGACAGUAUCCACCAUUUCGAGCAUAUAUCUCUCAUACAAACUCCAAAUCAGCUGAUUUUGGCGGCAUUGGAAAGCUAAUUUCAAGGGCUACAAUUCUUAUUCACGCAACAUUCCCAAAUUCGGACUCCAACAUGGCGAAAAUCGAAGAACAAAUCCUGAUGGGGGAAAGUGGCGGAAAUUGAUUCCUAUUACGUUUUCACUACUUCCUUAUCAAGAAAAGCCUAUAAAAGCAACAAGUCUCCACACCAUAAGCACGAAAAUUUUACACCACAAUACGCGAGGAACGAAGAUCAACGAAGACUCAAGCAUAGUUUUUCUUAUUUAAUUUAUUUUCUUUAUCAUAAGAAUCACGAGUAGCUAAGUCUUUAGUUUCUAGGAUUUUAUUUUGAACCCUAUGUGGGAUUUAUGAACCAUUUUCUAUGAUUUUAUGCAAGUUUUAAUUCCGGAUUAUUUCUUUUACUUGUUUUAUUAAGUUCAUGAAACUGGCCACUUUAUGCGCUUUUAUAAUAUUGUUAAUCACAUAAAUCGGAAGAUCGGAUUAAUAAUUAGAACUGUGGUAGAAGAGCCUUUUGUGGUAUUAACAUAGGAAUAUAGUUAAUCUCUUAGGUAGGCAUUAUUGAGAUUUGUGCUUAAUGUUGUGUUCUAGAAUUAAUUGCGUAGUAAUACAGUAAUUGAAUUUAGAGUAUUAGAAUCGUAAUACACGCGGAAGCGGGUUAUGAUUAAUUUAACAUCUCAGGUUAAUAAUCCGGGUUAAUUGCUUGAAUAAUUGAAGGAAUUGGGGAAAUAAUAAUCACAUAGGGGGAAGAAUAAAAUCCUAGGCUAGUUUACUUUGAUUAAAUCUUCGUUUUAAAUCGCUUUCUUGUUUUUUGCUUGCCUUUUAAUUUAGUUUAAUUUAGUUAAUUCUCUCCGAAUUCGACCGUGUAGGGUGGGCUUGAUAAUAAUUGCUAGGAUUUAGCGUCUAGGAUGAAAUAAUUAAAUAUUCUCUGUGGGAUCGAUAUCUGGACUUAAUUGUCCACUUUAUUACUUGUACGAUACGUGCACUUGCGUGUAGGUAUUACCACCAACAAGUUUUUGGCGCCGUUGCCCGGGAAUAUUUUAAUUAUUUAUUUUAUUCUAGCUCUAAAUUUGAACAAUUUUCACGAUUCACCCAAAUUAAUUUUUAUUUUAUUUUAUUUUAUUUUUUUCGUUUUAAUUUAUUUUAAUAUUUUUUUUCUUUAUUUAUAUGUCAGGUUACAAUUCUCACGAGUCCACUUUAUUACUUGUUUGCGAUACGUGCACUUGCGUGUUGGUAUUUAGCACCCAACAACUUGUAGCGUUUGAGGUCCUACAGAUAGCUAUCUUAGAUGAGUAUAUAUCGAAUGCUUUUACCAAAAAUCGACGUCUCCCGCCUAAUUUGAACGACGCGGGUGCAAGUUUCGGCGACUUCCAUUAAACUAAAGUUGAGCCCCAAGUACGCUCCUUGCAUCUGAUUUACCAAAAUAAGUUUGAAACAUAAAAGUAACGACUCAAAUAUCAUCACAUCUUAUACUUUAUUUUUUAUUAUUUAUUACUUUAGCAUUCUAAUAAUGCAUAAAUUAUUUAAUGAACAAUGUUAUGCUUAAUAUAUAUAUAUAUAUAUAUAUAUAUAACCUGCGCAUGAGGUAACUUUUUGUUGGCGCCAGAUUUCUGUUAGUGAAGAAGAAAUCCGGCAUACGUGGUAAUUAAACAUUGGCAAAGAUUUGUUUUCCAUGUAUAUUUUGGAAUUAAUUAGAGUCCUAGUCUUGUUAUAUUGUUAUUAGGACUUAGAUUUAUUUCCAUGUAUUAUAUUCUAGUUAGGUAUCUUUUGUACUUAUCUAGAAUAAAAGUAGAAAUCGACUAGGAUUCUAUUACCUAGUUAAAUCGAUUUCUUAGGGCCCACGUUAGGUUUAUGGGUGGUGAUUUCGUGCCUAUAUAAAACACUCAACAUCAUAUGAGUCCCAUGGAGCUUUAAUAAGAAAAAUCCCAGCAUAAAGGCUUUGAAGGGUGCAGCCCGCGCACAUCAGGUGUGGCAACAGGACGGGUUUCUUCUACCAGGCUAUAGAGAAGAUCGACGUUUCGGGAAAAGUGCUUAAAAGAUCUCGGGAGAGGUCAAUCCGCCGUUUGAAAAGUGCUUAAAAGAUCUCGGGAGAGGUCAAUCCGCCGUUUGAAAGGAGUUCAACAUUGGAGGAAGUCCAAGAGUGCGGAUGAAGGAAUUGCUUUGAUUAUCAACAAGUUCGAGUCGUAUGCAAGAACGGCAUAUUACAUAAAGAGGGAGUCUUUAGUGUUUUAUUAAGUCCUAUUAAUGUACACUUAAAUCUGAACUAGUUUUGCAAGUCCUCGUGGAUGUAGGGUACAUUUGUAUCCGAACCACAUUAAAUUCUUGUGUUCUUUAUUCUGCUUUUAGUAGGUUUAUUACUGUGAUAACACAAGAAUUCUGUUACCACACCUAAUGUCGUAACAUGUAAUCUGUCUCAACAGAUGAGUAGAUUUUCAUAGGCAUUUAAAAUCAACACUUUUCCUUCGGGAUAGAACCCCGUAAAGAGGGCAGAGUCCAUGUUGACCGGACUAUAAUGGGACUGGCUGUGUGCGGUCACGGACAAAGCUUAUGAUUGAUCGAGCUAUAACGGGAUCGCUGUGUGCGGUCACGGACAAAGUUCAUAACGAACAAUAACGGGACCGGCUGUGUGCUGUAUUACAUAAUUUGGAAAUUAUCUUGAUCCCUAUCGUUUCAUAAGUUGUUUGAUAUAUUUUUGUAAGUAGCGAGAGACGUAAACCACACUAGCCUAACCAUAUAUAACACGUUUCACCUAACGAUCGUUUCAUACGUUGUUCGAACUUAUGUCAAUUGAUACAUGCUCGCUUGCUCCAGCCGCUAGGGCAUCCCUUGCGGGAUUUUCUUCGAUUGUCAAUUCGAUGGUUAUUGCUAAUACCAUGUUGCAGAUAGCAGCAAAACCAAGAAUCUUCAUAAAAUCAGACAAUUUGCAAUUGGGCAAAAAAUAUCAACUCCCACUUGCCUAACAAAUCCAAUUUAAUUUUGCAACUCUUAUUUUCUCAAGAAAAAUUAAAUAACAUAAUAAUUGAAUGGAAAUAAUUGUCAAUAGAUUCAUCUUUUUCUUCUUCAUAUGUACAGUCUACAUUAUGGGUCUAACAAAUUUCAAUCCCUAAAUUAAAAUUAAAAAAAAAAAGUUUCUCUAGUGAUCAAAAUUGACCAAAGUAUUACUUCCUUCACCUAACGGUGACCCAAUCAACCGAAACAGACCAAUCAGGGCUUUGAUAGCUAACUAGCUGCCGCAGCCUCUCCGCCGGCGAAACAGAUCCGGCGGAAUAUUCCGGCGGGGGCAAAGAGGUAAUUGAACAUCCAACAGAUGACACCCAAUCCGAGAAAUCAAAUGGGCUCCUUGGAGAGGUUGUGUUCUCCUUCACCGCCGAAAUCACGAAAUCCUGACCGUCGAUGAAUGGAUGAUCUAAGAGCAUCUCAGCCGUCCAUCUUUUAAGUGGAUCUUUAAUAAAACAUCUCCCGAGAAAAUCUUUUCCUUCGUCCGAUAAAUCUCCGGGAAUCUCCGGCACUUCUCCGCCGACGCCGAUCUUCAUCAGCAAACUCGCCACGUCGGAGCACCGCCACGCCGGAGCGCCGGAUAACAUCUCCACCACCGCACAACCCACCGCCCAAAUAUCCACCGCGGGGCCCUGAUCGCCUCCGGCGACCAUCUCCGGCGACAUGUACAUCGGCGUGCCCCUCAAUUCGCAGCCGGAAUAUUCCCCUCCUCCGAAGACCCGCUUCGCCAACCCGAAAUCCGCUAUUUUUACGGCGCCGUUUUCGCCCAAGAGAAUGUUCUGAAGCUUGAUAUCGCAGUGGACGUAUCCAACUUCGUGAAUGUAGUUCACCCCUCUGAGCAGAGCUUUAGUGUACCGCCGGACUUCGGAUUCCGGCAACCGUGAACCGCCGGAGCUCUUGAGCUUGUCCGCCAGGGAACCGCCGGAGGCGUAUUCCAGCAGGAUAUUGUACAAUUGCUCGCCGUUCUCGUAAGAAAUUCUCUCUCCGAAACACCGGAUGAUCUCCGGGCAGUUUUGGAGAUCAUCCAGUAUUAAUUUUUCGUUCGCGAGAGAUGAAGAGUGAGAAAAACCACACGACUUCGCCGCCAUUAACGGAGGUAAACCAGAACUCUGGUUUGUCGGCGCCGCCAAACUCACCGUCGCGAAACUACCGUGACCCAGUUUCUCGCCUCGAACCCAAUCCAUAUUUCAAAAUUAAAUCCAAAAAAUAAAAAAAUAAAAACAGAUUUUUUCAGAACCCUUUUUUUUUUUUUUUUUUUGACUCGGGGUUUACUGGUUUUCAAGAAAUAAUGUGGAAAAUAGUCUCUCUCUCUCUCUCUCUCUCUCUCUCUCUAUAUAUAUAUAUAUAUAUAUAUAUAUAUUUUUAAGUGUGUAUAUAUAGGUUAGGCAAACGUGUUGAAACGUUUUGUUUAUUAAGAAUAAAAAAAAAAAGCACGUGGUAACUAGUAAUGAAGGAUACUCGCAUGAACCAGAAAUAGAAACGUGUUUUUAUAUUGUCUGAAGAAAUCGUUGUAUUAGAUUUUUGUCUUUUUCUAUUUUUUUUAUUAUAUUUUAUUUUAAAUUUUGCAAAAUUAAAAGCAUACAAUAUUUCUUUUCAUUGUAAUUUUCUCUGGGAUGACUUUUUUUAGAGUCCUCUAAUUAAAAAAAAAAAAAAAAAAACACAUGUUAUAUGUAUAUUAAAGGCUAAUAUUAUGUUUGUGAAACGACGACUUUUUCUAUUUGACUUUCUAUGCAUUAGAUUUGUGAGUAAUUAUUACUAUUUGAUGAAAAUAGUUAAUAGUAAAUAAUGAGAAAGAAGCAAAUGGAUAUAAAUUUAUUUGUAAUUUUGUAAGUCAAGUCCAAUAGUGUGGACAAGAUUUUUCUCAACCAAAAAUCUAAGUAGCUUCUUGGUAUUGAAUUAGUCAUGAUUUAUUGAAUUAAUUUAGAAAAUAGUUGAAAAUGGAGAGUCAAACCAAAGACUUAUGCAUGGGAAUACAAUUUGCCUAUUUUUAUUUUAUUUUUAAUUAAGUAAAUAAGUAAUACAACUACUAAUUGUGUGCUUGACUAGGCUUAUAAUAAGUUGUUAAAAAGAGCUUAUAAGCUAAAGUGUUUAGAGGAAUGGUUUAUUCAUUAUCUAUUGGAUUCUAGACACCACUAAUAUUCAGUUAUCCAGAAUAUAAUUGAACAAGAUGACCUGCAUAUAUAUGUAAUACUGUAUUAAGGUAUAUAUAUCCUUAUUCAUGGAAUUAGAUCCAAGUAAUAAUAAUUAUGUAACUAAUUAUUUACUAAGAAAUUAAAACAAAAAAUGAAUCACAUUAUGAUUUUUGUCCCCCUUUUCUUGUAUCAACUAUAAAUUGUAGAUAAUUUUUUUUUGGGAGCUGCCCCGGUAUCACGUAAAAUUGUAAUACAUUAUAGGGUAAAUGACACUUAACCCGCUGUUGUUAUAAGCUUUUGCAUAUGAUUUUCUUGUGCUUGUAAUAUAAGCUAUAACCCUCUUAUGGUUGAUGGGGUAGCUUCCGUUAGUUUUUCCGUCCAACUUGACCACGUGUGUCAAACGUCAAAGUAAUAUGUUUGCAGAUGACUCCAUCGUGCUUUCCUUUUUGCAGAUAACCCCCUUGACGUUUGGCACACACGAUAAGUUUGACGGAAAAAUUAACGGAAGCUAUCUUAUAAACCACAAAGGGGUUAUGUGCUGAUACUACGAGCAAAUUAACAAAUGAAUUCAAACUUGGGUUAAUUGACACAAAGCUCGCUUACUCCAACUGCCAGGCUAUCCUUUGCGGGACUCGGGAUUAAUUAAUUAAUCCAUCAUGAUUAAUUACGAUAUCCAAUCACAUGAGACUUGGAUACAAUUGGUUCUCCACAACCCUUCCAUUCAUUCAUAGAUCGAUUUGUAAUUAAAGUAUAAUUAAACUGUGAACUGAAAUUGGAUACGUAAUCUUCUAUCCAAUAUAUAAAUUUAUGAUAACCUAAUCAUGAAUUAAGUGCACUUUUAAUCGUGGUUGGAAAUUAAAAUUAUGUAAUAAGUUGGUGUAGUGCGUGUUCCAUGCUUACCCCUAACUAAUUAAGAGAUGGUAAGUUUUUUAUUUAAUUUUAGUAGUUAUAUAUAGGGAUAACUUAUUAAAAAAAUUCUAACUUUUCUCAAACCUAAACAAUACUAGCUAGUGGGAUAUAUAAUAAAUAUGUAGGGGUGGCAAUUCGGAUCCGGAUCCGGAUUCGGUGGGGUCCACAUAGAUCCAAGUUCAAUGCAUUUCCGAUCCAUUCUUUUGAACAUGAUUCGAGUUCAAUUUUGUUCAAAUUCGAUCAAACUUUAUUUGUUAACUCGAUCCGAUUGAAUUCUUAGAUCGUGCAUGUCGUAUGCACUCACCACUUAUGAGAAAAUAAUUACUCGUAUGUCUAUACAUGCUUAAUCAAGAAAAUUAUUCACAUUUUCUUUCAAAAACUAUAUGUAGAAGUAGAAAGUUUGUGUAACAAAAAUUGUUUCCGAGCAUUCAAGUGCCACGGUCUGACGGUAAAGUAGUAUUUCAUUUGAACUGGUGAAAUUCGAAUUUUCAAUAUAACUGUAUUAAAAUAUCCCGUUUGAUGGAGUAGGAUCUACACUCUCAAGACCUCACUCAAGAAACCCUACUCCUUUUAGACCGUUGAAAAGUACACCGGACGUUGGAUCUUAAACCGGCGCCGGUGAAAUAAUGAACGGAAAAUAAUAAGUAUGAGAGAGAGUUUGGAAGAUAGUAUAAAGUGUUCUUAUUGAUUGUAAAUCGUGACCCUGAUAGGGUCUUUACAUUCAUUUAUAUAGAGAGUUUCUAAUUAGACAUUUUCUAAUUUAGAAUCUCUUUAUUCGAAUUGUUUGUUCAAUUACUCAUCUUAAUUUACAUGUUUCCCUUAUCUAUUUAGGGAGAGUAUCUCAGAGUCUUCUGCUUCUAAGUUCUAACGACUCUCGUUCAGUUCGCCACCUAUCACUUCCUGAUACACUUUUUAUGAGGGCAGAGAAGUAGUGGUGAACUUUAUCCAUGCAAGCUAUGUGUCAGCAAACUCUAUAUGUUAACCUCUUCAUCGACGAACAUCUGGCCCCACCUUGAUUCUUGUCAUUCAUUAGACUUUUGGCCCAAUAAUCUUAAUUUUGAGGGUCUGGCUCAAGCCUGCCAAACUGACCCUUCACCGUUCUUUAACCAUUACACAAAUUUGACCCAAAUGAACCGGAUUUGGAUCCGAACCCGCAAACCCGAACCCGUUUCCAUCCCAACUCGUAAUGGUUGGUGGCAAAAUUAGUUGGGAAAGGUCAGAAAAAGACAGCAAAAUCAAGUUCUUUGGUGUGUGAAAAUGCAAGUACAACACACUUAUACACACGUUUUUAAUGUAAAAAAAUAAAAGAAGACCAUCGCCUAAGUUAUAUAUUUAUUUUCGACGGGGGCCCACUUGUAAAUGGGAUUACGAUAUUAACCAUUGAUGAACAUGUUAGGGAGGUAAUGAAAAAAUAAUGAAAUUUUUUGUUUGGCUAUUUAAGGAGAGCCACAAAAAACGGUAGACCAGAAAAUUUAAUUUGAGAAAAAACGUUUUUAUGUUGUAGUAUUAUUAUUUAUUAGAGACAAACACGUGGAAAUUGAUGGUUGGACAAUUGAGUUUUUCUUUGACUGCCAAAAUUGGGCACUACAAAUAGAAUUCAAUGAAAGGCUGUCUAUAGAGUAUAUAUUGGGCAAUAAGGAAAUUCGAAUUUAUUUGUCUAUAUUACUAGUUGUCCCGACAUAAUAUUUUUUUAAUAGGGAAAAUAUAUUCCAAUUAAUUUAUCUAAUAUUGUUGGGGUUAAAAUAACAAUAUGCGUAAAUAAUUAAAAAAAAAUUGCACAUACUUGUUUGACGAAAAUAAUACGAAAUAUAAAAAAACCAGAAGGAAUUGAAUGAAGGUUGCAAUUGCAAUGUACUUAUGACAAUAUUUUCAGAUUAUCCAGAGUGCAACAGUCUUUCCAGAUUAUCUCUCAAAAUACAAUAGUCGGUUGUCGAAUAUUUGCACUAAUAUCAGACCCACAAUGAACUUAGAACAAUGAAUGUAAUUUUUCUCAUAACCAAACUAAUUAGACUUGGGCCAUUUAAUUAAUAUAUUAUAUGUGUUGAACUUCUUUAAUUAUUUAUUUAAUUUGAGCGAAAUAAUUAAUUAAUUAUUAAAAUCCUAAUGAUUAUUCUAAUGAAAUGGUCACAAAAUUAAUCUUUUUCACUUCCAAAAUUCAUUUUUUUAAUUUUUUGUUUCCAAUUAGUUAUAAUGAUACUUAAAAAAAAAAAAAGAAUAAUUCUAAUGAGCUUGUAAAAUCACCCAGAAAGCGACAAAAAAUAUAUUUCACGCCCAGUGGGACUCGAACCCACAAUCGCUUGAUUAGAAGUCAAGCGCCUUAUCCAUUAGGCCAUGGGCGCUUCUUGUUAAUGUGAGGAAGAGAACAGUAUAUAUCCUAUACUAUAUUUGGAAUCUUAGAUAUUUUUAAUUAGAAUUCUAGAAAUAAAUUUAUUUCCAGCAAGGAAAAAGAAAUAAAGAAAAACUGCAAUAGAAAUAAAUAUGUGCAUACCUUUUGGUGGAAUUUGUACACUCGGAAUUUUAAUUAGAAUUUGAAAAUAUUGGGCUUUCCAUAUUAAAAGAAUUAGGACAUGGGCCGGACCACCAUUACCAUACUUAUGUAGAGUUAAUUGCAAAACUCAGUUUUACAAUGUUUUUUAUUAGCAUAAAUAGUUUUUGCAGCCCUAGGUUAAUUAAUUUAUUUAUUUAUAAAUAUUUUACUAGAUACCAUAGUUUUGAAACUCAAUGUGUUUUGGAAAAUUCAAGUUUUUAUUGUGUUUAACGAGAUCGGAUUUUUUUCUUGGUAUUUCAUUGAGUUAGAAAGUCAAUUCAAAAGUCUACAACUAUGGUGUUCCGAGUUUUCCCAAAUUCAUACAAAAAGAUAGUCAAAAUUACGCCCAGAGUAGAAUUAUAGUGCAUAGGGAAAUUUUCAUUCAUUUAUGCAAAACUCUCUCAUUCAACAUUUAAUGUAGCUGAUUCAAAUUGAAUUAAAAAGGUAACUCAAAUGACUACAUAUUUAGUUGGAGGCUGAUUUACUAAUCUAUGUUCAACCUUAGAAACGGCCCAAUAAAGAUGGACUAGGCCGAAGCCCUGCGAGGCCCCAAAGCAAAGAGGAGUACCUAGGCCCGAGUAAUUCGCUUCUUAUUCUAUAGCGAAACACUUUGUUAGUUUCACUAAAGAAUAGGGGGAGUAGAAAAUGGGGGUUGAUUUGCUAAUAUAUGUUUAACCCUCGGAACGGCCCAGUAAAGAUUGAUAAAAAAAAUGAUCUUCUCUCUCGUAUACUAUAAGGCUCGUGAGAAAACCCUAUUAGGGUUACAUUAACAAAAAGAUUUCAAUAAAUAACAUUGAAUACUCUCUCCCAAGCUCUCUCUUAUAUUUACUAUUUUCCUUUCGUCAUUUUCACCACCGCCGACAUAAGAUCCGAUGUAUGGUGUACUUUCCAACGGUCUAAAAGAAGUAGGGCUUAGAGUGAGGUUUUGAGGGCGUAGAUCCUACGCCAUCAGCUAUGAUCGAUUCAAGUACUUAUGAAAUUAUUUCGAACUAAUCCAUUAGAAAUGAAAUUUCACCAGUUUUCACAUAAUAUGAUUUUUAAACUAAAUAAUCGCACAUAAGUGUUAAUUAAAUUUAUGCCAACUAAAUAUAUGCUAGAUUAGCGGAAUUUAAAUUAGGGUAAACUUCAUUUUGCCUACCUGAACUAUACCCAACGUAUAAAACACCCCCCUGAACUUCGAAAUGAACCAAAACAGCCCCUCAGUUAAAAAUCCGUCCAUUUUGCUGAUGUGGCGUGUUGAUUUUUUUAAAGUAUUACAUUUAUUCCAGCUGUUCUAUUUUUUGGACAAUUUUACCCCUCUAUUGAAUAUAUAUGUUUGUGAGUAAACUGCAAAAAGGAAAAACAAUAAAGGCUUAAUUGCAAUUAUAUUAAAUUUCUUAAAACUUUAAUUUGGGACUUGAUUGCAAUUUCACACCAAAAAAAAUUCAUGAAUUACCUCUACCACCACCACACCUCUUCCUCCGCCUGAAUAAAUUAAAAAAAAAAUCUCUGAUUUUAUUGUCCACCAAAAUUCACGUCGUCCCAUCAUCAAUUCGAAAUCUACUUCGAUGAAAUUUAACAGAAAGAAAAUCUUUUAUUUUGGUGAGUAAUCUGAAAUGGGCAUCUCUGAGGAGGAUGGCUUCGAAUUGUGGGAUGAGGUUUGGUUGGCGGCUGCGUUUCUUCUUGAAUUUCUUGGAGAUUUUGGUGUGGAGAAAAGAGGUUCACACAGGGGGUGGAAAGACCACGACGGUAGUGGUGGUGGUGAAACAAAGGUAGCGCCACCGUGGAUUUGAUGAUAAUUUGACCCGUUUGUGGAGACGAUUGUGAUUUGUGAGGUAGAUGAAGUACGAUUCAAAUCUGAAAAUGGUUGGAGUUAAUUAGGAUUUCAUAUGAUUCAUAUAGAGAGAGAGAGAAGUGAUUGAUGAAAAGGAUGAAUUUUUUUAUGAUAAAAUUCUGGGAAUUGCUUUUAUCGGAAGAACAGAGAGGGA
rnacentral:lncRNA from 1 species